GGCAAAGGGUUUGAUGGUUGGUACCUGAGACCCAAGUUUGAAUCCUAGUUGAUUCACAUUUCUAGCUAAGUUUAUUUCUAUAUGAAAUAAACGAAGCGGGUAGCGUGCUAUCUAUCUCUCAAUUUUUUUUUUUUUUUUUCCUUUGGUACUGGGCUGUCCCUGCAGCCCAAGGCCUAAAUAAGCUCAAUAAUAAAAGAUACUUAUUGCAUACAAUUCAUCCAACCGAAAAGUUUAAGCUUACAUGUGUAGGUAUAUUAGUAUAUAUCGACUGUUUGAGAGAGAGAGAGAGAGAGAGGUUAUGGUGCUUUUAAAAGUAUUAAACACUUGGGUAUUUAUAAGUUUUCUGCCGUUAGAUCUACUAUUUUAACUAUUUUCACAUGUUAGAUCAUACUAUUCAACUAACUACCCACUCAACCUUAUGGGGCCGCUAUCAUCCUAAUCUCACAUCCCUUUAUCCAAAAGUCGAAAAUCUAAUAACACCAAGCGCUUGGAACUAUUAAUAGUAUAAUAGCAUAAUUAUAUAUAUCUAUAGAGAGAGAGAGAGAGAGAAAGAGAGAGAGAGAGAGUUAGGCUGGUAUACUAUCAGUAGCAUGAAAACCUUCGUGCUACCAAAUUAUUUUCAAUGAUGUAACUUUUAAAUCGAUGAUCAACUCCGUUAGACUUGAUCUACACUAUUGUAAGUAUUUGAAAACUAAAUUUCAUAAUUUUUCGACAUUAUUUACCUAUCCAACGAGUGGUCUAAAAAUAAACAACUAAAAAUAAAAAUCUAAUAAAAAUAAUGAUAAAAAAACGUGAAUUUAAGAUUAGAGGGACUAAUCUUACUCUAAAUAGUGAAAAGAAAUUUUUAUAAAAAUUUCAUCAGAUUUGAAUUGUUUUACACUGUUAAAUUACAAACGUAACGCAUCAAUCAUUAAAAUUGUCAAUUUUGAGACCUUUUGAUUACUAGCCAAACGAUGCCAAAAAAUUAUGAAAUUUAAUUUUCAAAUACUUUAAAUAAUGUAGAUCAAGUCUAGUGAAACCGAUCGUCGAUUUGGAAGCCGCAUUAUUAAAACAACUUAGUAGCACGGAGGCCUCCGUGCUACCGAUAGUAUACCACCCUAGCUCUCUCUCUCUCUCUCUUUCUCUCUCUCUCUAUAUAUAUAUAUAUAAAAUCCGGCUAGGAGACUAUCAAUAACACGAAGCAUUUGGUGCUAUCAAUAGUAUAUUAAUACUCUCUUUUGGAUUUAGUAUCACAAGUUUGGUUAAAGGAUUUUUUUAUUUUUUUUUUAAGUAUAUUAAUACUCUCUCGGAAUAACAUCUUAAUCCAAUCUCAAAAUGGAAAAGAAAUAAUCAUGUGAUGCCAAAAUUAAUUAAUUCCUAUCAGUCUAAGAUAAGUCUUAUUAUAAAAGUUAGAGUAAUACUUCAUUACAUCAUGUAAAUCUUAACCAUUUAUUUUUUUAAAUAGAUGGUUAAGAUGUAAUAUGAUUCUAGAGAUGACCUACUAUUCAAACAUCUGUACCAUUCAUCAUAUUUUGGCCUUAGAAAAAAUUUUUAGUCUACAAAACCGGUUUUAUCCAACUAAGAAUACUAUAACCUUCUCAAAUACCUAUAGCAAUAGUUGAAAUUCAAAUUACAACUAAACUGUAAAUUUAAAUGCAAAGCAACAUAAAAAACUUAAUUAUAAAUCAAAUUCAACUUUUAAAUAUAAAACACAAAUUUAAAAUAAAACUUUCAGUUCAAAUUCAAAAUUUUAAUUUAAAUCAAAAAUUAAAAUUUGACUUUCAGAUUAAAACUACAAUAUAGAUUCAAAAUUUAAAAUUUUAAUAUAAUUUUUGAAAUUAAAAUUUUACAUUACAAUACGAACUUCAAAAAUUAAAUUUAAAUUUAAUAUUUUUUUGAGUUGGAUAAUUAACAAAUUGGGUAUUAUCUAAUUUGGUAAGUAACAAAAUUAAAUAAAAUAUUUAAUAUUAUAGGAUGCUAACAAAUUUGGCAUAUACUACUAAUUUUUUUUCAAUAAUAUCAUAUUAACUAAUUCAAUUCGAUAACAUGUUUAAUAGGUUACUUUAUGUAAAAUCCAACUAUACCCUUUACUAAUUAAAAGUUUGAUUUUAAUACUUAUGGUGUAUUGAAGUAUUGCUCUAAGGGCAUGUUUGGUUCAUCUAUUUUAGACUAUGGAAUCGGAAUGGAAUUCAUUGAUUCCGAUAGUUGCCGUUUGUUUUAUAGGAAUAAGAUUCCGAUUCUCAUUUCACUCCGGAAUGGGAAUGACCAAAUCCAUUUAUAAUUCAAUCCGACUUUGAAUCCCAGAAUGGCUGAUUCCAAAAUAAACUAUUCAAAAUCCUCUUUCACCAACACCGAUCUUCUCUCUCUUCAUCACUUUUUUCUUUCUUAAUCAAAACUCUCUCUCAAAUAUUUUAAAUUUUCAUUCCAAUUUCGAUUCCAAUAAUGAACCAAAUAUUUUGAAUGAUUCGUCAUUCCAUUUUCCAUUCCAAAACAAUCCAAUUCUAUUUUUCAUUUCUAUUCCAAUCAUGAACCAAACAUGCCCUAAAAGUUAUUGCCGGAUAACUUAAUUACCACUCCAUUCAAAGCAUUUGUCACUUGGAUAAUGUAGAAACUCAUAUAAAAUUUAGUUGGUCUACGACUACCUGAACAAGCAGGGAAAAACAGAAUAAAAUGAGAAUAACACAAAGUUUUUUUUCCAGAUAAUUUUUUUUCCGGGAAUAAUCGAACUAAUAUCAUGAUGUACUAUAUAAUUUGAAUGAUGGAAACAAACUAAUAUAAAAUUCUUGCAUUAAUUCUAGUAAAGUAUAUGAUUCGGCUAGUUUUUAAUUUGCCCCUUGCAUGAAUAGAUUAAUUCAAUUAGAAAAAACAAUGUGCUUUAAUUUCCACUAGAUUUUGGACCCACUAAUUAUAUAUCUUUAACAAGAUCAUGCAUUCAAAUAUUUCUAGAAGAGGUCAAAACAAAAAUUAUAUAAAAAAGAAAAAAGAGUUUCUGGAAAGGUUCGGCAUGUUUUAUUAUAUUUUAUUUGAUUUAAUAUAUUUGGAGAAUUUAUACUUCACUGUGGCUUAAUUAUUUUGUUUGAUAAAGCUUCAACCCACCUAGUUAUUAUUCUAGCUAGUUUAGUAGGGUUUGCCUUUUCGCUUAUGGAUAGGGUCUAUGUACGUGCCCUUUAAAGUUCAAACCAACAGUCGGUUUGAAUUGACCAACUUUGUAAUUGACUAGAAACCACACGUUUCAUAUAUAUAUAUAUAUAUAUUAAAGGAAAGUGGUCAUCAGAGAGUCAAAUCUCCAAAUAUCCCUGAUACCAAAUAAAUAAUCAACAUUACUGAAACUAUAACUAACACAUCAGGCUGGCCAAUUUUCUCCGUAUUCAUUUAGAAGGGUUCAUCACUUCCACUGGUAUGGCCAAUACAUCAAGACUUUCUCAUCGAUUUACUAAACCAUACCUAUGCUCUAACUUCUCGUUAGACAACAUCGAAUUGAACACCAUUUUUCCAUAGAAUCUUUCUGCCCCCUUAUUGAUGAAAAUACAAUAAUGAAUAGUCAUUCGAUAGAUAAUUAGUAUUUUACUAUUUGUAGUUCCUAUUCAAAUAAGCAUAUGAGGAUUGAGAUUGUUAACUAUAUAAGUUGAGUAUUGAAGAGAAUGAUUCUCUUUUUUUGGAAUCCGAGAUAUCACUUCAAUAUCUAUCUAAUAUGAUGAGAUUCUUUUUUUUUUUCAAUUAAAUACAAAUUUCAUCGAAAAGAAAAAUAUUUAUAAUAAAGAAUUCGUUCUCGCAUAACUUGUAUCAUAUAAUCAAAUAAUAAGUUUAUAUUGCAAACAUGGAACGAAAAAGACAAUAUAUCAGCAUAGUAGAUGAUAGAGGAGGCCUCUACCUUAGCUUAAUCUAAGCCUGAAACUACGAGAUAUAAAAUGAUCCACUAAUCCUAUGGAUCCUUAGAUUAAAUUAUGAUGGAUCCAAAAAAUAAAGAAAUAUUGAGUUGUUUCGUCUUCGUUCUAUUAAAUCUUGUAUAUACUUGUAUAUUGUAUAUACUUGUAUAUAUAGUAUAUAGGUCUGUACAUGUGAUAUGAAAGAUAUAUGCAAAUAUAUAUAUGUUAUGUAGUAAGCUCAUUCUUUAUUUAUUCGGCUCAAUCCUUUUUUUAGGAAAAGAUUGGCCGAGUUUAAUUGCAAUCAAUUAGGAGAACAAAGAGAAUUACUAAACUCUACACGCUUAGUUUUAUCUUUCUAUUUCGUUUUAUCUAGCUUAUCUACGGUUCGAAGUCGAAUUUAAUCUGUUUCCAUACUUCACAAGCAGCGGCUAGCUCAGGGCUCCAUUUGCUAGCUUCACGGAUAAUUUCAGCACCUUCACGAGCAAGAUCACGUCCUUCAUUACGAGCUUGUACACACGCUUCUAAAGCCACCCGAUUAGCUACUGCACCAGUGCAUUUCCCAAGGGUCCCUAAAGUUCCUCCACCAAACUGUAGUACGGAAUCAUCUCCAAAGAUUUCGGUAAGAGCAGGCAUAUGCCAAACAUGAAUACCCCCUGAAGCCACAGGUAUAACACCUGGCAUAGAGACCCAAUCUUGAGUGAAAAAGAUACCACGACUACGGUCUUUUUCAAUAAAAUCAUCACGUAAUAAAUCAACAAAACCCAAAGUCAUCUCGCGUUCCCUCCAGUUUACCUACUACUGUACCAGCGUGAAUAUGAUCUCCACCAGACAUACGUAAGCUUUAGCUAGUACACGAAAAUGCAUACCAUGAUUUUGUCUAUCAAUAACUGCAUGCAUUGCGCGAUGGAUGUGAAGAAGUAGGCCAUUGUCGCGGCAAUAAUGAGCAAACUAGUAUUUGCAGUGAAUCCCCACAGUUAAGUAAUCAUGCAUUACGAUAGGAACUCCCAAUUCUCUGCAAAUACGGCCUUUUGAUCAUUUCUUCACAUACCCGCAGUAGCAUUUAAGUAAUGUCCUUUGAUUUCACCCGUUUCGGCCUGCGCUUUAUAAAUUGCUUCGGCACAAAAUACGAAACGCUCUCCAACGCAUAAAUGGUUGUGAGUUCACGUUUUCAUCAUCUUUGUAAAAUCCAACCACCGCGUAGACAUUCAUAAACCGCUCUACCGUAGUUCUUUGCGGAUAAUCCCAAUUUUGGUUUAAUAGUACAUCCCAAUAGAGGACGACCAUACUUGUUCAACUUAUUUCUUUCAACUUGGAUGCCAUGAGGCGGGCCUUGAAAAUUUUUGAAUAAGAAGUGGAAUUCGCAGAUCCUCAGACGUAGAGCUCGUAGGGCUUUGAAACCAAAUACAUUACCUACAAUGGAAGUAAACAUGUUAGUAACGGAACCUUCUUCAAAAAGGUCUAAAGGAUAAGCUACAUAAGCAAUAUAUUGAUUUUCCUCCCGACAACGGCUCGAUGUGGUAGCAUCUUCCUUUGUAACGAUCAAGACUGGUAAGUCCAUCAGUCCAAACAGUUGUCCAUGUACCAGUAGAAGACUCGGCUGCUACCGCAGCCCCUGCUUCUUCAGGCGGAACUCCGGGUUGAGGAGUUACUCGGAAUGCUGCCAAGAUAUCAGUAUCUUUGGUUUCGUAUUCAGGAGUAUAAUAAGUCAAUUUGUAAUCUUACUAACACCAGCUUUAAAUCCAACACUUGCUUAUGUCUCUGUUUGUGGUGACAUAAGUCCCUCCCUACAACUCGAAUUAAGAAUUCUCACAACAACAAGUCUACUCGAUAUGAUUAGGCAUGAAUGAAACCUUAACAAAAAUCUUUCAAAAAAUAUUCAAUAUUCAAUUAAUAUUAUCAACUCAUUAAAAUGUAUGUUAAAACGGUUUGUUAUUAGACCAUGUAUUUGAUUCACCAAAUACAUCAUUAUUGUAUACUCUUUGAUAUAUAUAGCGCAACCCAACCCAACCUAAUCUUUGUUUUGCAGGUUUAUAAUUGAAUUGAUCCCUUCCUUAUUUUGAAUCUAAAUAUCUAAAUACUGAGAAAAUUCCCCCUUGACAGUAAUAUAUGUUGUAUAUGUAAAUCCUAGAUGUGAAAAUAGGCAUAAUUCAUCCACGAAAGGUAUAAUAUAAAGACGGAAACUAUAUGAAAAAUCCAAAAUAAAGAACAAAGGCCAAUAAGAUCCAAAUAAUAAAUCAUAAAUCGAGUUCGGGUUCGAAUCCAUAAGUAAUAUAAUAUGGAUCUUUUUAUAUAAUAUAGAGAAAUGAAACACAUUUAUUCACGAUUCAAUCUACUUGCAAUUUUUUUUNNNNNNNNNNNNNNNNNNNNNNNNNAUUAUAUUAUAUAUAUAUAUAUAUAUAUAUGAGUGAGUAUACAUCGGAAGCACCGGAGGCCUUCGUCUUCCCCAGCAUCGUUUUCACUGUUACGCACUUUCGAAUCGUGAUCGUUGUUUUUUCCGCCGUUAAACUUUACUAAGUAAUUGGGAGUAAGCUAAAAUAAUUUAUUGAUUUUAUCGAUAUCAUUUUGCCUAGUGAACGAGGGUCUCAAACAACGCUGAAAAAAAAUAUGCUACAAAAUUACAUAAUAUACAUAUAAAUUUUAAUCAAAGAUAUUAAUCUGUUUUAAUUUAGUAUACAAGAAUUUUCUAGUUCAAAUUUCACUGAUUUUGGAUAUCUAUCAAUCCGUUAAUUGCAAACGUGCAUUCACCAUACGGCCCAUUAGAAAUUUUUGAUUUGAACCAUUCGAUCACGUACAAAUGAUAUCCGAAAAAUAAUAAAAUUUAUUUCUAGGUACUCCCAAUACUCUAGAUCAAGUUUAACGUAGUCCUGAUCGACGAUCUCAAAAAUCGCAAAUCAAAAAACAUGGAGUUUGAAGCACGGAAGGCUCCCGUGCUUUCCGAAGCAUUUAUCCUCACUUCUAUAUAUACUUAUUAUUUAUAUUAUAUAGUUGUAGAGUUAUCUAGGAUACUUUUACAAUAUCAUCCUCAGUUGCUAUCACCUUUUAGCGUUCAUUGAUCUACUUUUUAUUACAAAUACUCCUUGGAUCAAACACUAUUCCACCUACCCACCACCUACCACCACCGUACCCCAUCAUCUCAACCUCCCAUCUCUCACGUCUCAAGCUGAAAACAACAAUAUCCACUUAGUGAUACUUGAAAGUAUCUAACCCUAUCUAUAUAUAUAUAAUAAUAUAUAUAUAAUAUAUAUAUAUAUAUAUAGACGAGGCUACUAUGGCUAUGAAGCAGUAGCCUUCCGUGCUUCCAGCUCGUUUUCGAAUGUAGCCUUUCGAAUCGUCGAUCGCUCCGUUAAACUUGAUCUAAAUAUUGACGUACCUAAAAAUAAAUUUUAAUUAUUUUCGAUAUCAUUUGCCUAGUGAUCGAAUGGCUUCAAAUCAACAAUUAAUGUCGUAGUGAGCGUUUGCAAGUUUAACGGUGUAAAUAUCCAAAUCACGUAAAUUUUGAUAGAAAAUUCUUUUACACUAUAUAAAAUAAGAUCAAUAUCUUUGAUUUAAAAUUUAAUUAAUUUAUCAUACAUUUUGUAAGAUUUUAUUUUCCGCGCGUUGAUUUUGAGCCAUUCGAUCCUAGCAAAUGAUAUCAAAAAUAAUAAAAUUUAUUUCUUAGUACUUCAAAUACUCUAGAUCAGUUUAACGGAGCCGAUCGAACGAUUCGAAAGUCGCAACAUCGAAAACGAGUGGAAGCAUCGAAGGUCCGUACUUCCGAUAGCAUAGUAGCUCACUCAUAUAUAUAUAUUAUAUAUAUAUAUAUAUAUAUAUAUAUAUAAUAUAAAUAUAUAUAUAUAUAUAUAUAUAUAUAUAGUAUAGUAGAGUGUGCCUGUAUGCUUCAUAAUUAAAGCACGGACGCUCCCGUCUUCAAGUUUUUUUCAAUGUUCGCUUUCGAAUUGACGAUCGCUCCGUUAGCACUUGAUCUAGAGUAUUUGAAGUAUCUAGAAAAUAAAUUUUGCGAUUUUUGAUAUCAUUUGCUAGUGAUCGAAUGGCUCAAAUCAACGCUGAAAAUAAAAAUCUUACAAAAUAGAUAUAUGACAUUAAAUUUUAGAUCAAAGUUAUUGAUCUUAUUUUAUAUGUAUAAAGAAUUUUCUAUCAAAAUUCAUGUGAUUUGAUAUUCUCCACACCGUUAAAUUUGCAACCGGCUCACACACGGCCAUUAAAUUAUUCGAUUUUGAGCCCUUCGAUCACUAAGGCAAUGAUAUCGAAAAUCAAAAUUAUGUUUAGGUACUUCAAAUACUCUAAGAUCAACUCUAAUGAGCCGAUUGUCGAUUCGAAAGUCCGAACAUCGAAACAAACUUGGAAGCACGGAGGCUCCGUGCUCCAUAACAUACAAGCCCACUCUAUAUAUAUAUAUAUAUAUAUAUAUUAUAUAUUAUAUAUAUAGAGUUGAGCUAGAAUACUAUCGUAGUAAACGAGCCGUUUACUACCGAUUUGUUUCGAUGAUAGAGACUUCCAAAUGAUGUUCGCUCCGUUGAACAUAUUACUACGACUUAAGUGUCUUAGAAUCAAUUUCAAAUCUUUUCGACAUCAUUGCCUUAAUGAUUCAAGGGGUUCAAAUUUGUAAUUUUAAUGUCGAUAAGAGACUUUUUCUCGUUUAACGCGUAAAGAGAUACAAAUCAAUUGAUUUUUAGAAAAUUUCUUUAAACUAUUAAAAACAAGAUCUAUACCUUGAUCUUGAUUACAAGAUCUAUCAUUCAUUUUUUAAAGUAUUCAUUUUCAACCAUUCAUUUUCUGUUCACUUGAUGGAUAAAAGAACAAUAUCGAAAAUGCGUGAAAUUGAUUCUAGGUAGUUAAAUGGUUUAGAUCAUAUUUAAGAGCUGAUCGUCAAUUUGGAAGCUCUAUCAUCGAAAACAAAUCGUAGUAAAAUGCUCGUUACACCGAUAGUAUUCUAGCUCAAACUCUUAUAAUAUAUAUAUAUAUAUAUAUAUUAUAAGAGAGAGAGGAGAGAGAGAUUAGCUAGAAUACUUCCAAAAGCACCAAGAAAUGUGCUUUGAUUUUAGCCAUUGAUAGAGAGAUGUAGGGUUGAGAGAUAGUGAUAGGUGUGUUGAAGGCGAAUAGUGCUUGCAUCUAAAAGUUAUUAGUAAUCAAGAAGUAGAUCCAACGCUAUAAAACUAGAAGCACCAAAAAUAUAUAUAUAUAAUAAGUAUAUAUAUAUAAUAUAUAUAAUAUAUAUAUAUAUAUAUAUAUAUAUAUAUAAUAUAUAUAUAUUGAUACUAUGAAUACUCUCAAAAAUACCAAGGGGUGUGCUUUUAGUUUUACCAUUGAUGAGAGAUGUAGGUUGAGAUAAGUGUAGGUGAAUAGUGUUGAUCUAAGAGUAUUAUAAUCAAGGAGUAGAUCCAAGAGCUAAAAGAACUUAGAACACCAUCUAAAAGUAUUCUAGCUCAAUUAAUAUAUAUUAUAUAUAUAUAUAUUAUAAUAUAUAUAUAUAGAGUAGGGCUGCUGUGGCUCUAAGGAGCACAUGAGGCCUCGUUGAUCCUGAGCCCUUUCGAUGAUAAGAGUUUUCGAAUCGACGAUCAGUUCCGUUAAACCUUGAUCUACGAUAUUUUGAAGUUUCUAGAAAAUAAUUUUUUGCGAUUUUUCGAUAUUAUUUACCUGCAAUCGAAAUGAUUCAAAAUCAAUAACUUUUAACGGCUGUAAAUAAAAAUUCCAUAAAAGUGUGAUAUAGCACUAAAAUUUUCGAUCAGAAAUAUUGAUCUUGUUAUAGAUAGUAUAAAGAAUUUGCAUCAAAAUUCAUACAUAAUGCUAACACCUUAAACUUGAAAACGGCAGAUAUAACCAUUAAAAUUAUGAUUUUGAAUCCUUUCAACCACUAGGUAAAUAUAUCAAAAAAUCAUAAAAAUUAUUUUCUAGAACUUCAAAUGCGCUAGAUCAAGCUAACGGAGCCAAUCGUCGAUUCGAAAAUUUCAUCAUCGAAAACAACUCAGGAGCACUGCGGCGCCUCGUGCCCUGAAGCACGACAGCCCUGGCUAUAUAUAUAUAGUACCGGCUUGCUAUGCGUAUUAAAGCACCAAGCACUUGUACUAUCAAGUUUUCUGCCUUAGAUUAACCCUUUGAUAUUUUUAUCCGUUAGAUUAUUCUAUUCAACCAACCAUCCACUCAACCUAGGGACUUCACAUCAUCUCAACCGAACAUUUCUCAAUCCAACGCCGAAAAUCUAAUACACAAAUUACUUGUGCUAUUGAUAGUAUUCCAGCCUAGUUCACAUAUAUAUAUAUAUAUAUAUACACAUAUAUAUAUAUACUAUACACCCCAUAAUAUAUAUAUAUAUACACAUAUAUAUUAUAUAUUCACACAUAUAUAUAAUAUAAUACACAUAUAUAUAUAUUAUAUAUAGAGAAGAGAGAGAAGAGAGAGGAAGAGAGAGAAAGAGAGAGUUGAGCUAGAAUACUAUAGUAGUAAACGAGCCGUUACUACAUUUUGUUUCGAUGAUAGAACUUCCAAAUGACGAUCGGCUCCGUUGAACAUGAUCUAUACCACUUGAAGUUUUAGAAAUCAAAUUUCAACUUUUCGACAUCAUUUGUCCUAAUGAUCAAAGGGUUUCAAAUUGUAAUUUUAAUGGUUGAUAAGAGCGUUUCUCGUUUAACGGCAUAAAAUAUCCAAAUCAAUUGGCUACAUAACUAUUGGAGACGAUCGCCCUGCGUACUCAUAAGUUGUUUUCGAUAAUAAGCUCCGAAUCGACGAUCCAACCAUUAAAUGUUAUCUAUAGCAUUUGAAACAUCUAGAAAUCAAAUUUCAUUUUUUCGACAUCAUUACCUUGCAAUCUAAAGUCACAAAAUUGACAAUUUUUAACCGGCCAUAUGAAUACUUGCUAGUUUAACGCAGAAAGAAUCCGAAUAGUUGAAUUUUGAUAGAAAAUUCUAUUCACUAUCUAGAUAAAGAUCAAUAACUCCGAUCUUAAAUUGGAGGAUCCGAUAUCAACUAUUUUAAAACAUCGUUCGAUUUGACUGUUUAUUUAUGCCUGCUGAUGGAUUUAUAUGAUUUUUACGAAAUUUAUUUUCUAAAAUUUUCAAAUACUCUAUAUCAUAUUAACGGAUGGAUCGUCGAUUCGAAGCUCCAUCAUCUAAAACAACUAUGAGUAGAAGGUGCUCGAAUACUGCAUAAUAGUAUAGUAGCAUACUAUAUAUAUUAUAUUAUAUAAUAUAUAGGAAGAGAGUAGAGAGAAGAGAGGAGAGAGAGAGAGAUAGAAGUUGAGCUAGAAACUUUUAGAAGCACCACCCCUUGGCUUCUAAGUUUCUAGCCCUUCGAUCUACUCCUUAAUUAUAAUACUCCUUGAUCAAACAUUAUGCACCUACACUACAACCAAAAACGGUCUAUAGCGACACUUUUAAAUGUAGUACAUUCAAAAAAAGCGCUGCUAGCUAAAAUUACCCCGACAUUUUAAAAAGUGUUGCCAUAUAGUUGGGGUCGGCUAGUAAUAUGUCCAGUUAAAGAGUUUCACAUAUACCUAAAAGAGUGCUGCUAAUUUACCUAACACUUAUUUAAACAUUUAGACCGCCGAAACUCUAUCUCGUUGCGUGCGGUGGCGAUGAGGACGACAGAAAGCUCUUCGUCUAAAUUCAAGUGGAUUAGUGAAGAGACACUACAAAAAAACUGUCUAUAGCGAACUUUUAAAUGUAGGUACAUAUCAAAAAGUGCUGCUAGCUAAAAUUACCGACACUUUAAAAAAGUUUUCUAAUAUGGAGUCCGCUAGUUAUAUAGUGACAGUUAAAGUGUCCGCUAUAACACCUAAAAGACUGCUGCUAAUUAUCCAAAACUUAUUUAAGCAUUAGCAACCGUCGCAUUCUAUCUCGUUGCGCCGGUGGCGGAGAGGAACGACAGAAAAGGCUCUUCUCUAGAAUUUCUCAGUGAUUGACUGAAGAGAGAAGAAAGAUGGUAAUUAAUUUCUUUCUUUUUUUUCUUUUCUGUUUGUAAUCGGGCCAAAUGGACCUGUGGUAAGUUGAGAAAGUAAUCUUUAUUUUUGUUGGAUGGGCCUUAUAUUUAGACAUUAGUAAUUUUUUUUUUAAAUUUCAGUAUAAAUGGGACACUUACUCAAAAAUGUCCAAACAUUUGCCCUAUAACCUAAUUCUUUGUAGUGAGAGAAGAAAAGAUGGUAAUUGAUUUUCUUUUUUUUUUUUCUUUUCUGUUUGUAAUCGGUCAAUGGACUGGGUUGUGGUGGGUUGAGUAGAGUAAUCUUUUAUUUUUGGUUGAUGGUCUUUAUAUUUAGCAUAAGUAUAUAUUUUAUUUUUAAGUUUUAGCCAUAAAUGGACACUUACCACCAUGUCGCAAACUGUGUCCUGUAACUAAUUCUUGUUGUAUGCUACCACCACUACCACCACCUACCCUAUAUAUCAACCUACAUCUUACCAUCUAAUGGUUAAAAAUUCAAAAAACACACCCCCUUGGUGCUUUGAGAGAUCUGUUCAACCUCCUCUCUCUUCUCUAUAUAUAUACAUAUCCGGCUACUAUACUCUAUUGAGUACCAUCGCCUUCAUACCCAUAGUUGUUUUUGAUGAUAAGAGCUUCCAAAUCGACGAUCCAUAUCGUUAAACAUUAUCUAGAGCAUUUAAAACUUCUAGAAAUCAAAUUUUAAAAUGUUGACUAUCCAUUUUCCCUCACGAUCAAAAGCUCAAAAUUGACAAUUUUAACGAUUGCGGUAUAGAUAUUACUAGUUUUACGUGAAAAAGAUCGAAAUAGGUUGAAUUUUUAAUGAAAAAUUCUAUCACUACCCAAAUAAAUACAAUCGACUCGAUUAGAUUGAAAAAUCUGAUCUCUUUUUACGAAUGUCGUUUAGAUUUAACCGUUCAUCUUUUAUACCUGCAUUGAUUGACUUUAAAAUGAUAUCGAAAAUUAGAAAAUUAUAUUUUUAAAAGUUUCAAAUACUCUAAAUCAUAUUUCACGGUUGGAUCGUAAUUUCUACAAAUCCCAAUCAUCGAAUAAACAAUUAUAAGUAUAACAGCUCUAUACUCAUACGGAUACUAGACCUUCUCUAUAUAUAAUAUAUAUAUAUAUAUAUAUAUAUAUAUAUAUAUUAAUAUAUAAUAUAAUAUUAUAUGAUGCUACUAUGUCCUUCUGGAAGGCGCGCAAGCCUUCUGUGCUUCCAGGUCAAUUUCAAUGUUGCGACUUCGAAUCGGCGAUCGGCCUCCUUAAACUUGAUCUAGAUAUUUGAAGUAUCUAGAAAAAUAAAUUUUUAUGAUUUUUAUAAUAUCAUUGACCUAUGUGAUCGAAGGGCUCAAAUUAAUAAUUUUAAUGCCGUAGUAGCCCGUUUGCAAGUUAACGAUGUAAAAAUAUCCAAUCAAUUUGCAAAUUUUGAUAGAAAUUCUCUCAUACUAUAUAAAACAAGAUCAAGUACAUUACUAAUACAAAUUUUAAUGUCAUAUUACUUCACUGUAAGAUUUUUAUUUUCAGCCGUUGAUUUAGCCCUUGUUCACUAGCACAAUAAACUCGAAAAUCGCAUUAAUUUAUUUUCCUAGAUUUUCAAAUACUACCUCAGCUUUAACGGAAGCCGAUUGACGAUUCAAAAAGUCGCAACAUAAGAAAACGAGCUGAAGCACAAGGCUCCGUGCUUUCCAAAGUAUAGUAGCCUCUCUCUCUCUUCUCUCCUUUGUAAUAUAUAUAUCAUCAUAUAUAAUAUAUAUAUAUAUAUAUAAUAGUAGUCCGCUACUAUGCUAUAAUAGCACAAAGCACUGGUGCUACCAAAUGUUCUCCGCCGUUAUGACUCACCUUAUGAUCAAUUUCAUACUCCGUUAUAUCAACUGAAUUCACCACCACGCACUAAACCUUAGGAGGCCCACAUCAUCCUACACCGCAAUUCUCUUAUUCAAUGCCAAAUCAAACUUGGUAGCACACAAUGAUUUGUGCAUACUUACUAGCCAUAGCUGCCUAGUUCAUAUAUACCUAUAUAAUAAGAUGAGAUAUUGCUUCUGAAGCACUGGAGUCCCUCGUGCUUCUAGGCCUUGUCGGUAAUCGACUUUCGAAUCGUCGAUCGUCGUCUAUAAACACCAAUUUAGAGUAUUGAAGUACGUAGAAAUAAAUUUAUAUUUUCGAUACUCAUUUGCCAGUGAUCGAAAGGGGCUCAAAAUCAAUAAUAUUUUAUGCCGUAGUCAUCCCGUUUGCAAGUUAACCGUGAAGUGUGAAUAUCACAAUCAGUGAAAUUUGAUAGAUAAAUUUUUUAUACUAUAAUAAAAUCAAGAUAAUAUCUUUGAUUAAACUUUAAUGUCAAUAUCACUUUUUGUAAGAUUUUAUUUUCAGCCGUUGAUUUCUGAACGUCAUUUAUCUUCUACGCAAUAGAUAUCGAAAAUCGCAUAAUUUAUUCUCGUACUUCAAUAUACCAGUACAAAUUUAAACGAAGCCGGAUCGACGAUUCGAAAGCGCAACACGAAAACGACACUGAAAAGUCGAGGCCCUGCUUCGAGAAUAAAUGCAGCCAUCAUUAUAUCUAUAUAUAUAUAUAUAUAUAUAUAUAUUAUUAUAUAUAUAUAGAUAAUAUAUAUUAUAUACUAAUUAGUACACUCUAAAGCAAUAAUUAUUUUGUAUCUACCUGGGGUAAAUAUGUAUGCCUUGACGUCCAGCAUGGCACGGCCCAUUAUUAUCUCUGGCUAUUCGAGCCACUAAUAUAAUAUCGGUUCGAUGUUCAUUUUUAUUAUUAUUAUUUUCUGUAUUUUCUUAAAAAAUUGCUUUAACCUUAUAAAUAAAUUAAUCUAAAUUAUAUUAAAAUGUCAAAUAAUGAUAAUACAGCUAUAACAGUUUACUAAAUAUAUAAUAAUGUCUAUAUUUUAAAAAUCAUGCUACCGGAAAUUUCAGAAAUGGACUUUAUACAAAUUAAUAAAUAAAUAUAGCUUGGCCCCGCCACCAAGUACGGACAUAUGUUACCUCCUACAUGUGCAACGACUUUUAAUGAUAAAGUAAAAAAAAAAAAGAAAAUGAAAAAGAAAAAAACAUCGUCUAAUUAUUUGUUCGCUCAAUAUAUUUAGUGAAAACAGGGCGUACGUACACGCGCGCACACAUUUUAUCAGGAUGGAUUUAAUCAGAAAAUUCUGGUAAAAACUAAAAAAAAAAAAUUAGAGAAGUUUUUUUUGAAUGUCAACAUAAAUAUUUAAUGAUAAUUUUUUAUAGUAGAUUAAAUAGAAUUUCUUUGUGUGUGGAAAGUUACAAUCCAUUUGCUGCAUUUUAUUUUUGAAAGUUCUUAAUAUAUAAAUUUACGUAGAAUAAUAUAUUUAUCUAAUCGAAUAAUUUACUUUAUUUUAAAAUAAUUUAAAAAUUAAAUAAAAUAUACAUUAAGAUAUAAAAAUCAUAUUUUUUUAAAGUAAACAAAAGAACUUAUUUGAUUAUAAAAUAUUUAUUCAUCCAAAUAAAGCUUAAAGAGUGGCGGUUGAUAAGUCAACACCUUGUUAAAACCAUCUGAUUAUUAAACAUUCAAUUUCAUUCUUUUAUCUAUAAGCAUUGAUUAAAUUUUUUUUUAUAUUUAGUAAUUCCAAAACCUUUAAUGAUAUCUUAAAUAGAGGUAAAUUUAUACAUCAUCAUAUGAAUCCCUGUUUUCAAGUUUGUCGACUCAACGAUCUGCUAACGCAAAUAAAAUUAUUAAAGAUCACGGUGACGUGGUGAACGCGUCGCCACGAAACAGUAAGACGCGUCCGAUACCCUCACUGAGAGCGCAAACUUUGGCUGAAUCCAUAUACCGGUGGUCUCCACUAACUACCUAACGCUCGAUUGUUCGUAGAAACGCCGCGCGCAACGACUUCAAAGCAGAGUCUCCUUUUUUCUCCUAUUACAACAAGGUUACUAAAUCACGAAGGAAACGUAUCGUCGCCCCCCCCAUGCAUUUUCCCUCUUAUGAAACCCACGAUGCUCUUCUUUUUAUAUAACAAACAAUAUUAUUUUGAUCUCUUAUUAGUUUUUAUUAUUAUCAUGUAUUUUAUUUUAUUUUAUUUUGUUAUGGUCCUGACAAAGUCCUCAACCUGUGGAACACACUGCUAACCAAUAUGUACAUGCUGUGAAUAAUAUAUAUACAUGGUAAUUGGCGGUACAAUUAUUGCAUGAUAGAAUACCAUAAUACAUAAAGGUUUAUUCUAAAAUAAAAUAAUUCAAGGUAACAUGUAUUGAAAAUAAAUUCAAAAUAUGGUGGAUUUGCUCCUAUAUCUUUACUGGGUAUUAUAGAAAAAAAAAAAAGAUUGGCUGAACUUGAAAAUUUACUCAUUGAAUGAGUAAACGAGUGAAUCGGAUUCGGUUGGGUGGUACCAACUAAAUCGAGUGCUAUCUCCCAUUUAUCUCUUAUUGAAUUAACUGAUCAACUUGCUAUCGGACAUUUAUUUUCGAUUUGGUAUUAUUCCAAAAAGGAUUUCGACAUAUUUCACUUUAUUAUAAUUAUGAGAAUCAAUCCUAUUACUUCUAGCCCUGCGGUUUCCACACUUGAAGAAAAAAACCUAGGGUGUAUCGCUCAAAUUAUUGGCCCAGUACUGGAUGUCGUUUUUCCCCCGGGCAAAAUGCCUAAUAUUUAUAACGCUUUGGUAGUUAAGGGUCGAAAUACUGUCGGUCAGCAAAUUAAUGUGACUUGCGAGGUACAACAAUUAUUAGGAAAUAAUCGAGUUAGAGCUGUAGCUAUGAGUGCUACAGAUGGGCUGACGAGAGGAAUGAAGUGAUUGACACGGGAGAUCCUCUAAUAAGUGUUCCGGUCAGCAGAGCUACUCUUGGGCAAAUCUUCAAUAUUCUUCGAGAGUCUGUUGAUAAUUUAGAUGCCGUAGAUACUCCCACAGCAUCUCCAAUUCAUAGAUCUAUUCGUUUAUUAUUUCGCUGCGCCCACUAGUACAUAAUAAAAAAUAUAUAUAUAUAUAUAUAUAUAUAUAUAUAUAUAUAUAUAUAUAUAUAUAUAUAGAGUAGGGCUGCUGUGCUCUAAGGAGCACAGAGGCCUUCGUGAUCCUGAGCCGUUUUCGAUGAUAGAGUUUUCGAAUCGACGAUCAGUUCCGUUAAACUUGAUCUAGCAUAUUUGAAGUUUCUAGAAAAUAAUUUUUGCGAUUUUUCGAUAUUAUUUACCUAGCAAUCGAAAUGAUUCAAAAUCAAUAACUUUUAACGGCUGUAAAUAAAAAUUCUAUAAAAAGUGGUGAUAUAGCACUAAAAUUUUCGAUCAGAAAUAUUGAUCUUGUUAUAGAUAGUAUAAAGAAUUUUGCAUCAAAAUUUCAUCUGAUUUGAAUAAUUCUACACCGUUAAACUUGAAAACGGCAGAUAUUAACCAUUAAAAAUUAUGGAUUUUGAAUCCUUUCAACCACUAGGUAAAUGAUAUCAAAAAAUCAUAAAAAUUAUUUUCUAGGAACUUCAAAUGCGCUAGAUCAAGGCUAACGGAGCCAAUCGUCGAUUCGAAAAUUUCAUCAUCGAAAACAACUCAGGAGCACGGAGGCCUCCGUGCUCCUGAGAGCACGACAGCCCUGCUAUAUAUAUAUAGUCCGGCUGCUAUGCUAUUAAUAGCACCAAGCACUUGGUACUAUCAAGUUUUCUGCCGUUAGAUUAACCCCUUUGAUUAUUUUUAUCCGUUAGAUUAUACUAUUCAACCAACCAUCCACUCAACCCUAGGGACUUCACAUCAUCCUAACCGAACAUUUCUCAAUCCAACGGCCGAAAAUCUAAUAGCACAAAUUACUUGGUGCUAUUGAUAGUAUUCCAGCCUAGUUCACAUAUAUAUAUAGUUGAGCUAGAAUACUAUCGGUAGUAAACGAGCCGUUUUACUACCGAUUUGUUUUCGGUGAUAGAACUUCCAAAUUGACGAUCGGCUCUGUUGAACAUGAUCUAUACCACUUGAAGUGUUUAGAAAUCAAAUUUCAAAUCUUUUCGACAUCAUUUGCCUAAUGAUCAAAGGGUUUCAAAAUUUGUAAUUUUAAUGGUUGAUCAGAGGCGUUUUCUCGUUUAACGGCAUAAAGAUAUCCAAAUCAAUUGCUACUAUACUAUUAUGAGUACGAUCGCCCUCGUACUCAUAAGUUGUUUUCGAUAAUAGAGCUUCCGAAUCGACGAUCCACACCGUUAAAUGUUAUCUAGAGCAUUUGAAACAUCUAGAAAUCAAAUUUCAUAAUUUUUCAACAUCAUUUACCUUACAAUCAAAAGGUCACAAAAUUGACAAUUUUUAACGGCCGGCAUAGGAUACUUGCUAGUUUAACGGUGUAAAAGAAUCGAAAUGAGAGAGAUAUCUAUCUUACGAGGGAAAGGAUCCGUUAUAAUAUAAUUAAACAGUUUAGAAUCAAAGAUAUUGAAUCUGUUCUUAAUAUAGUAUAAAAAAUUUUCUAUCCAUAAAUUUUAGGUGUUGAUAUUUAUACAUCGUUAAAGCUUGCAAACGCCCGCCUGAUCAAGGCCCAUACGUCGCCAUUCUAAAGUAUAUCUGAUUUGUGAGCCCUCCCCUUCGAUCACUAGGCUAAAAUGAUUACAUGAAAACUCAUAAUAAUCAUAUAAAAAUCUUAGGUAAUCUUCAAAAACCCCUGUGUUUCACAACUUUUCAUUUAUGAGUACGGCCUGGGUUUAAAGUGUAUCAAGUUGAUAUACCCUGUGUUUUCUCACUUAUAUCACUUUAGUAUCCUUGUUUAAAAAAAAAAAGGGUUUCCUUCUUUGUGGGUUACAUCAAGUUAAGUAACCAUGUGGUUUUUGCACUUUAAUCAUUAUUAGUACCCUGUGUUUCACAUUUAGUCAACUUUAGUACUCCGCUGAUGAGUAUUUUAACACAAAACCACUAAGGGUUUACCCCUAGAAGAUAUUUAGGACGGGAACUCUUUGAAUAACACAAAUUAAAUACCGCAAGGCUACUAAGUGAUAAAGUGCAAAACCAGGUGUACUGUAACUUGAUAAUACGUUAAACAAAGGAUUAUGAAAUAGAAAAAGUAGAAAUUCCAACAAGGGUACUACUUGAAUACAUUUAGAGAUGCCCACCAGAAACAGGGUAUUAAAAGUGAAAAAAAUUGAAACCACAGGGGAAGUUUUUUGAGUUUCGCUAAAAAUUUCUAUUUCUAAAACGCGUUACUUCAAAUAUCUAUAUCAAGUUUAACAGAGCUCGAAUCGACGAUUGAAAGCGCUAUUAAUCGGACGAAAACGACCUAGAAGCACGGAGGCUCGCGUGCUUCCAAGAAGCAAAUUAGUAGUUAGCGCAUCACUGCAUAUAUAUAGUUAAUAUAUAAUAGAACUAGCUACUAUGGCUUAUACACAGAAGUCCAUUGUAGCGCUCUGACAAUUUUGGCCAUUGGAACUGAUAGAAAUGUGGGCGUUUAGGAUAUGUGGGCGCUCUUCUCAAGGUUGAGUGGAUUGUUUGUUGAAUAGUAAUGAUCUAAACGCUGAAAAUGACUCAAAGGUGUAGAUCUAACGGCGAAAACUUGUAGCACCUAAGUAAUAUUUGUGCUAUUAAUAGAUUAGUAGCUGAACUCAUAUUAAAUAUAUUAAAAUAUAAUAUAAUAUAUUAUUAUAUAUAUAUAUAUAUAUAGAACCCACAAGGUAGGACAGAACGAGAGAAGAGAAGGAGAGAGAUGAAGAGAGCGAAGAGAAGAGAGAGGCUACUAUUGAUUCUGGGAACACCGACGAAGCCUUUCCGUGCUUCAGCUGAUGUCUAACCGUCCUCCGUUUCUAUGUUGUGCGGACUAUCGAAUUAUCAGAUCGGCCUACCCUAUAACUUGAUCUAGAGUAUUGUAAAGUACCUAGAUAAAUAGAAAUUAACAGAUUUUUUUUAGCGAUAUAUGUGCCUAGUGAAAGCGGGGCUAAAACAGCCGCUGAAAAUAAAAUCUUACAAAAGGUUAUAAUAAUGAACAUUAAUAUAUUUUAUGAUCACAGUGAUAUUAUCUUGUUUUAUUUAAUAGUCACACGAAUUUCUAUCAAAAUUUCACGUGAUUUGAUAUCUUUUACAUGCGUAUUAGACAACUUCAUAAGAGAAAACAGUGGGGUGCGGAGCUGCACAUCUAUCCUCAUUAAAAAAUUAUUUAAUUUUUCAGAGCUCCUGCGAUUCGACUAGGUAAAUAAUUAUUACAAAAUCAAAAAUUUAUUUUCCUAGAUACUUCAAAUACUCUAACAAAGGUUUAACAGGGCCGAUUCACGUCGAAUCAACAGUCGAAAAACCUGGAGCAGAAGGCUCCUGCGCUCCAAAGCAUAGUAGCCAAAAUAUUAAUACUCAUAUAAUUCUAUAUAUACUAUAUAUAUAUAUAAUAUAUAUUAUAUAUUAUAUUAUAUAGGAGUAAGGCUAUAAUAGUCCUAUGAUAUAGAGCCUUCCAAUACUUAUAAUAUUUUUCGAUGUGGAUUUUCGAAUUGACGAUCGCAACGUUAAAUAGAUUUAGAGUAUUGGAAACCUUUUAAAAAAAUAAAUUUCCGUAAUUUUUCGAAAUCAUUAUAAAGUCCAUCAAGCGCUUAUACAAUGAAACGGUUAAAAUCUAACGGGACAAAUCGCUAAAAAAGGAUGAUCAAUUCUUCAUCUAACAUUCGAUGUUGAUCUUUAUAUAGGUAAUGGAUAAGAAUUUCUCUGAAUUAAGAAUUCAACCGUAUUGCGAUACCAUCUUUUCACCAACGUUAAAUCUAGUAAAUAUUCAUACGCGUCCGUUAAAAUUGUCAUUUUGUGAGCUUUUCGAUCGUAGGAAAAUGAUAUCGAACAAUUAUAAAAUUGAUUCUAGAAAUUCAAAAUGCUCUAGAUAAUAUUCUAACGCGUACGUGAUUGUCCGAUUCUGUGAAAGGCUCUAUCAUCAAAAAACAACUUAUGAGUACGAAGGCCGUAUCGUACUCAUAAGAAUAUAUGUAAGGCUGCGGGGCAGGAGGAUUCAUGGUAGUAGUAUAGCUUAUAGGAGGGGGUAGAGAGAAGAGAGAGUGGACCAGAAUACUCUCAAAGCACCCAGGGUGGUGUUUUUUGAAUUUCUAACCAUUUGAUGAGAGAUGAAGGGUUGAGUAUAAUAGUGGUUAGUUGUAAGUGUGGUUCGAUGGCAUAGAUGUUUUUUGAUCAAAGGAGUAUUCCUAAUUAAGGAUAGUAGAUCGAAGGGCUAAGAAACUUAGAAGCAGCCCAAGGUUGGUGCUAUCUAAUUUAUUCUACUCAACCUGCUCUCUCUCUCUCUCAUGCUCUCUUCUCUCUCUCAUCUAUAUAUAUUAUAUAUAUAAGUGUAUGGCUACUAUACUAUUAUGAGUAUUAGGCCUUCGUACUAAUAAGUUUUGUUUUACGAUGAUGUGAGCUUCUCGAAUCGACGAUCUCACAGGUGUUAAACUAAUAUGAUAGAGGAUAUUUUUUAAACUUCUAAAAAUAAAUUUCGUAUUGUUCGAAUGCAUAAUAAAAUCCCAUCAGCAUGCAUAAAAUAAAACAUUCAAAAUCGAACGAUUAUUUUAAAAAAUAGAGUUCGCAUCUAAUACAAUUUAUCAAAAAUCGAGUAUGAUCUUUAUCUAGAUAGUGAAUAGAAAUUUCUAAUCAAAAAUUCAACCUAAUUCGAUCCUUUGCGNNNNNNNNNNNNNNNNNNNNNNNNNUAUAUUUGUAGCAACACUUUUUAAAGUGUCGGUAAUUUUAGUGCAGCACUUUUUGAUAUGUAACCUAAUUUUUUAAAAGUGUUCGCUAAUAGACAGUAUUUUUUUGUGUCUAUUCACUAAUCCACUGAUUGUUUAGACGAAGAGCUUUCUGUCGUCCUCAUCGCACCGCAGCACGCAGAUAGGAGUUUCGGCGUUGCUAAUGUUUAAAUAAGUGUGGUAAAUUAGCGCACUCUUUUAGGUUAUGUGAACUCUUUAACUGGAAUAUAUACUAGUCGGACCCACAUUAUAUUGUGCAACACUUUUUAAAAGUCGCGGGUUAAUUUUAGCUAGCAUGCGCUUUUUUUGAAUGUUAUACAUUUAAAAGUGUCGCCUAUAGACCGUUUUUGUGUGAGUGAGGUGCAUAAUGUUGAUCAAGGGUAUUAUAAUUAAGGACGUAGAUCGAAGGGCUAGAAAUUAAAGCACAACGGGGUUGGUGCUUCUAAAAGUAUUUCUAGCUCAACUUCUCGAUCUCUCUCUCUCUCUCUCUCCUUCUCUUCGUUCCUAUAUACUAUAUAUAUAUAUAUAUAUAUUAGUAUGGCUACUAUACUAUUAUCGUAUUCGGCACUUCUACUCAUAGUUGUUUUAGAUGUGGAGCUUCGAAGGCGCGAUCCAUCGUUAAAUAUGAUAUAGAUAUUUACUUUUAGAAAAUAAAAUUUGUAAAUAAUAUAAAUCCAUUAAGCAGGAUAAAUAAAAGUCAAAUGAACGAUGUUUUAAUAUAGUUAUGAUCGCAUCCUCCAUUUAAGAUCGGAUGUAUAUGAUCUUAUCUGAUAGGAAUGUUUAGAAUUUUCUAUCAAAAUUCAACUAUUCGGAUUCUUUUGCACCGUUAAACUAGCAAUUAUUUCAUAUCGGCCUGUUUAAAAUGUCAAUUUUGUGACUUUAGAUUGAGGUAAUGAUGUCGAAAAUAUGAAAUUUGAUUUCUAGAUGUUUCAAAUGCUAAGAUAACAUUUUAAUGGUGUGGAUCGUCGAUUCGAAGCUUAUUAUCGAAAACAACUUAAUGAGUACGGAGGCGAUCGUACUCACAAUAGUUAUGUAAGAAAUUUGAUUGGAGUUCUUUAUGCCGUUAAACGAGAACGCUCUAUAUCAACAUUAAAAUUACACAUUUUGGGAAACCCGUGAUCUUAAGGCACAAAUGAUGUCGAUAAAGAUUGAAAUUUGAUUUCUAAACACUUAAGUGGUAUAGAUCAUGUUCAACGGAGCCGAUACGUCAUUUUGGAAGUUCUAUCAUCGGAAACAAACUGUAGUAACGGCUCGUUCUACGAUUUUUCUUAGCUAACUCUCUCUUUCUCUCUUCUCUCUCGUCUAUCUCUCUCUCUUAACAUUAUUAAAUAUAUGUGUAUAUAUAUAUAUAUAUUGUGUGUUAUAUAUAUAUUAUAUGUGUAUAUGAAAUUUAAUAUAAAAAUAUUAUGGGUGUUAAUUAUAUAUAUAUGUGUAUAUAUAUUAUAUCAUAUAUGGAACUAGGCUUGGAAUACUAUCAAUAGCACCAAGUAAUUUGUGUAUUAGAUUUGUUCGUCCGUUGGAUUGGAAAGUUGCGUUGGAUGAUGUGAAGUCCUAGGUUGAGUGGCUAUGGUUGGUUUGAAUAGAUAUAUCUAACGGAUAAAAAUAUCAAAGGGUUAAUCUAACGGCAGAAAACUUGACUAGUACAUGCUUCUGCUUAAUGACGCAUAGCGAAGCGGACUAUAUAUAUAUGAGCAGGGCUGUUUCGUGCUUCAGGAGCACGGAACGGCUCCGAUGCUCCUGAGUUGUUUGUUCGAUGAUGAAAUUUUUGGAAUCGACGUUGGCUCGUUAGCUUGAAUCUUAGCGCAUUUGAAGUUCCUAGAACAAUGAUUUUUAUGAUUUUUUGAUAUAUUUUAAUAGUGGUUGAAAGGAUUCAAUCCAUAUUUUAAUUUGGUUAGAUAUCUGCCGUUUUCAAGUUUAAGGUCUUAGAAUUAUUCAAAAUCAGAUGAAAUUUUGGAUGCAAAUUCUUUAUACUAUCUAUAACAAGAUCAAUAUUUUGAUCGAAAUUUUUGUGCUAUAUCACACUUUUAUAGGAAUUUUUAUUUACAGCCUGUUAAAAGUUAUUGAUUUUGAAUCAUUUCGCAUUGCCAAGAAAUAAUAUCGAAGAUAAAUCGGCAAAUUAUUUUCUAGGAAACUUCAAAUAAUGCGUAGAUCAAGUUAACGGAAAUGAUCGUCGAUUCGAAAACGUUAUCAUCGAAACGGGCAGGAUCACGAAGGCCUUAUGUGCUCCCUCUAGAGCCCAGCAGCCCUUUAUAUAUUAUAUUAUAUAUAUAUAUAAUAUAUAUAUAUAUUGAGCUAGAAUACUUUUAAGAUGGUGCUUCUUAAAGUUUUAGCUCUUGAUUACUCCUUGCAUUACUAAUACUCUUAGAUCAACACUAUAUUCACCUUACCACUAUUUAUCUACCUACCAUCUCUCCAUCCAAUGGUAAAAAACUCAAAUGAGCACACCCCUUGGUAUUUUGAGGUAUUCUGCUCAAUAUAUAUAUAUAUAUAUAUAUAUAUAUAAUAUAUAUAUCAUAUAUUAUUAAUAUUAUAUAUAUAUACUAUAUAUAUAUAUAUCUUUUGGUGUUCUUAGUUUAUAGCCGUUGGAUCUACUUCUUGAUUAUAAUACUUUUAGAUGCAAGCACUAUUCGCCUUAACACACCUUAUCACUAUCAUUCAACCCUCUGCCUUAUCAAUUGGCUAAAAAUCAAGCACAUUUCUUGGGGCUUUUGGAAGUAUUCUAGCCUUCAAAUCAUAUCUCUCUCUUCUCUCUCUAUAUAAGUAUAUAUAUAUAUUAUAUAUAUUAGAGAGUUUGAGCUAGAAUACUUUCGUAGUAAACGAGCAUUUUAUCCGAUUGUUUUCGAUGAUAGAGCUUCCAAAUUGCACGAAUCCAGUCUUUAAAUAUAUCUAAACCAUUUAACUACCUAGAAUCAUAUUUCACGCAUUUCGUAUUUUCUUUUAGUCCAUCAAAGUGCAACAGAAAAAUGAAUGGUUGAAAAUGGAAUACGCUUUAAAAAUGAUUAGAUCUUGAAUCAAGUAUCAGAGUAUAGAUCUUGUUUUAAUAGUUUAAAGAUUUUUAACAAAAAUUCAAUUGAUUUGGUAUCGUUUUUACGCGUUUAACGAGAAAAGUCUCUUAUGACCAUUAAAAUUCAAAUUUGAACCCUUUGAUUAUUAGCAAUGGAUGUCGAAAAAGAUUUGAAAUUGAUUCUAAGACACUUAAGUGCGUAUAGUCGUAUGUUAACGGGACGAAAUCAUUUGGAAGUCUCUAUCAUCGAAAAACAAUCGGUAGUAAACGGCGCUCGUUUAUACGAUAGUAUUCUUAGAUAAUUAUAGUAUAUUAUAUUAUAUAAUAUAUAUAUAUAUACUAGAGUGGGCUGGGUGGCUUAUGGGCCGGAGCAUCCGUGCUUCAGUUCGUUUUCGUAUGUUCGCGACUUUCGAAUCGACAUCGGCUCAUUAGAGUUGAUCUAGGAGUAUUUGAAGUUACUAACAUAAGUUUGUGAUUUUUGAUAUCAUUUGCCUAAGAUGAUUUGAAGGGCUCAAAAUCAAGAAUUUUUAUAUGGCGCGUGGUUAGCCGUUUGCAAAUUUAACUGGGUGUGGAAAUAUCGAAAUCACAUGAAUUUUUGAUUAGAAAAUUUGUAUUCAUAUAAAUAAGAAUCAAUAAGAUUUGAUGCUAAAUUUUAAUGUCAUUCAUCAAUAUUUUGUAAGAUUUUCUUUUCAGCGUUGAUUUUGAGCCAUUCGAUCAUUAGAAAUGAUAUCAAAAAUCGCAAAUUUAAUUUUCUAGUACUUCAAUAUCUAGAUCAAGUCUGUUAACGGAAGCGACGUCAAUUCGAAGUCCGUAAACAUUGAAAAAACUUGAAGACGAGGCUCCGUGCUUCUAAGUCAGCGAAGCCAUACAGGCACAACUCUAUAAUAAUAUAUAUAUAUAUUAAUAUUAUAUAUAUUAUAUUAAUAUAUUAUAUAUAUAUAUAUAUAUAUUAUAUAUAUGAGUGAGCACUAUCUAUCGGAGUACGGACCUUCCGUGCUUCCACUCGUUUUCGAUGUUUGCGACUUUCGAAAUCGAUCGACCUCCGUUAAAUUGAUCUAGAGUAUUUGAAUAACUUAGGAAAUAAAUUUUUUAUUUUUUGAUAAUCGUUGCUAGUAGAUCGACAUGGUCAAAAUUCACGGCGGAAAUAAAAUCGGGUUACAAAUGUGGAUAAGUAUACAUUAAAUUUUAAAUCAAAGAUAUAUUUAUUUAUAUAAGUGUAAAGAAUUUUCUUAUCAAAAUUUACGUGAUUUGGAUAUUUAACACCGCUUAAACUUUGCAAACGCUCACUCGGACAUUAAUUGUUUGUUUUGAAGCCUAUUCGAUCACUAGGAAAAUGAUAUCGAAAAUAACUGAAAUUUUUUCUAGGUACGUUCAAUAUUUGAUUCAAUUUUUUACGGACGGAAGCGAUCGCGAUUCGAAAGUCGCAACAUCGAGAACGAGUGAAGCACGGAAGGCUCAGUGUUCAUAGCAUAACAGUAGCUACACUCUAUGUAUAUAUAUAAUAUAUAUAUUUAAUAUAUAUAUAUAAUAUAUAUAUAGAUAGGGUUUAAGAUAACUUUCAGUACACACUAAGUGAGAUAUAAUAUGUUUUCUAGCUUUGGAUGAGAUAGAUGGAGGUUGAGAUGAUGGGGUACGGUUGGUGUAGAGUGGUGUAGUGGAUAGGGGAUGGUGUUUGAUCAAGGAUAUUUGUAAUCAAAAAGUAGAUCCAAUGAAGACUAAAAGGUAUAGCAAUUGAAGGAUGAUACUUGUAAAAAGUAUCCUAGAUCAACUCUAACAAAAACUAUAUAAAUAUAAAUAAUUAAUAUAUAUAGAAGUGAGGAAUAAAUGCAUUCGGAAAGCACGGGAGCCUUCCGUGCUUCAAAACUCCAGUUUUUGAAUUUGCGAUUUUGAGAUGUCGAUCAGGCACUACGUUAAACUUGAAUCUAGAGUUAUCUUGGAGUAGUACCUUAGAAAAGUAAAAUUUUAUUAUUUUUCGGAUAUCAAUAUUGCUAGUGAUCGAAUGCUCAAAUAUCAAACAAAUUUCAAUGGCCAAAGUAGUGAAUGCGAAGUUUGACAAUAUACGGAAUUGAAUAGAAAUAUCACAAUCAGUGAAUUUUGAACUAGAAAAUUCUAUGGUAUACUAUAAUAAAACAAGUUAAUACUUUGUUAAAAUUUAAUGUAUAUUAAUGAUACAUUUUGCUAGCAUAUUUUAUUUUCAAGCAGUUGUUUUAGAGACCCUCGUACACAUAGGCAAAAUGAUAUCGAUAAAAUCAUAAAUUAGUUUUGAGCUACUCCCAAUUACUGUAGUAAAGUUUAACAGGCAAAGAAGAAAAAAAAAUAAAACCAAACAACGAUCACGAUUCGAAUACGAUACAUCGAAAACAGAAAGUGGAAGCACGGUGAAGAGUCUCGUGCUUCCGAUAGCAUAGUAGCUCAUCCUAUAUAUAAAAUAAAAUAAUAAUAUAAAAUAAUAUAAUAUAUAUAUAUAAUUAUUAUAUUACAUAUAUAUAUAUGAAGUGUGUUUCUGUCAUUACAAGUUAGAGUCAAAUAUCAACGAUGUUGUUGUGAACUUUAAAGGGCACGUCAUAGACCCUAUCAUCAAGCGAAAAGGCAAACCUACAUAACUAGCAUUAGAUAUAACUAGGGGUGAAGCUUUAUCAACAAAAUAUUAAAGCCACAGUGAAGAUAUAAAUUAUCCGUAUAUGCUUAAAUCAUAAAAAUAUAAAAUAAAACUGCCGAACCUUCCAGAAACUUCUUUUUUCUUUUAUUAUAUUUUUGUUUGACUCUCUAGAAAUAUUUAAUGCAUGAUAUUGGUUAAAAAAUAAUAAAAUAUAGAUGGGAAUGUCCAAAAUCUGUGAAUUUAAAGCCAUUGUUUUUUUAAUUGAAUUAAAUUUUCAUGCAAGAGCGGCAAAUUAAAAACUAGCGAAUCACUAUCAUAUUUACUGAAUUAAUGCAGAAAAUUUUAUUUGUUGUUUCAUAUCAAUAUAUAGUAACAUAUGAUUUGUCUCGAAUUAAAAUUGAUUCACAACAGAGGAAAAAAAAAAUUAUCUAGACGAUAGAAAAAAAAAAAACUUAAAUGAAUGAAUUAUUCUCAUUUCUACUUCUUAUUUCACCUGUCAACAAUAUGACUUCAACAAAGUAUCGUAGAACACAACUAAAUAUUUCAUAAUGAAGUGUUUUACAUUAUACAAGUGACAAAAUCAUAUGAAUGGAAAAAAGGAUAAUUAAGUAUAAUAACAAGACAAUACUUAUAUAGGGAAUGUUAUAAAAGUGAUUAUAUGAUUGGACACACAUAGAAAAAUGAAAAAAUAGGAAUUUCGGUGUUUAAUGAAAUGUCAAAUGAGGAAUGACGAUCAUGCAAAAUAUUUGGUUCAAUUUUGAAUCGAAAUUGGGAUAGAAAAAUUUAAAAAUUGAGAGAGGUUUUUUAGAAAGAAAAAGUGAUGAGAUGAGCAGAGAUCGAGGUGGUUGAAAGAGAUUUUGAAUAGUUUAUUUUGGAAUCAGCCAUUCUGAGGAUUCAAAGUCGAUUGAAUUUAAAUGGAUUUGUUCAUUCCCAUUCCGGAUGAAAUGAGAAUGGCAAUCUUUUCUAUAAAACAAACGGAACUAUCGGAAUCAAUGAAAUUCCAUUCCAUUCAUAAGUCUAAAAUAGAUGAGCCAAACAUCGCUAAGAGCGAAUAUCUUCAAUACACAUAAGUAUUAAAGCAACUUUAAUUAGUAAUAAGGUAUAGUUGUUUUAAUAAGAUAAUAUUAAAAUGUUUAUCGAAUUGAAUUAGUUAAUAUGAUAAUUUUGAAAAAAAUUGAAGUAUUAUGCAAAUUUGUUGUCUAUAAUAUUAAAUAUUUUAUUUAUUUUAAUUACCAAAUUAGUGAAUACCCAUUGUUAUUACCAAUCUAAAGAAUUAAAUUAUAAAUUUAAUUUUUUGAAUUGUAUUGUAAUAUAAAUUGAAUUUCAAAUUAUAUUAAAAUUUUUUAAUUUGAUCUAUGAUCUGUAGUUUUAAUCUGAAGUUCAAAUUUUUCAAUUUUGAUUAAAUUUAAAAUUAUUGAAAUUUGAACUGGAAAGUAAUUUAUUUUUAAUUUGUUUUAUAUUUAAAUUGAUUUGAUUUAUAAUUAGUUUUUUAUUAGUUGUCGAUUUAAAUUACGUUUAGUUGUAUUUCGAAUUCAACUAUGUUGUAUGUGAGGUAUUGAGAAAAGUUUAUGCUAUUUUAGGUGGAGAUAAAACGGUUUUGUAGACUAAAAAUUUUUUAAGGCCAAACAUAUGAUUGAAUGUAAAGUGUUUGAAAUAGUAGUCUCUUUGAUCUAUUACAUUUAACAUCUAUUUAAAAAAAAAUAGGUGUAAGUUUACGUGAUGUAUGAAGUGAUACUCUAAUUUAUAUAAUUAGACUUAUCUUAGACGAUAGGCAAUUAUUAUUUUUAGCUCAAUUAUUAUUUCUUUUCAUUUUUGAGAUGGGAUUAAGAUUUAUUCGAGGAGUAUUAAUAUUACUUAAAAAAAAUAAAAAAAAUCAAUUAACACUUGUGUACUAAAUCCAAAAGGGAGUAUUAUAUACUAUUCGAUAGCACAAUGCCUUCGUGGUUAUUGUAUUUCUGCGAUUUUAUAUAUAUAUAUCAUAGCGGAGGGAGAAGGAGAAGAGAGAGAGACUAGGUGUGGUACUAUCGGUUAGCACGGGCCUCCGUGCUACAUAAGUUGUUUUAAUAAUGGUCCAACGACGAGCGAGUAUUCACAGCACUUGAUCUAUAUAUAUUUAAAGUAUUUGAAAAUUAAUUUCGGUAAUUUUUUGGCAUCGUUUGGCUAGUAUCAAAAGGUCUCAAAAUGACAUUUUAAUGAUUGCAGUGCGUUACGUUUGUAAUUUAACAGAUGUAAAACAAUUCAAAUCGAUGAAAUUUUAUUUUAAAAAUUUCUUUUCAUAUUUUUAGAGUAAGAUUAUUCCUCUAAUCUUAAAUUCGAAGUUUUUUAUAGUAUUUAUUCUUUAGACUCUCUCUUGGAGUCGCUAGGUAUAUAGUGACAGUUAAAGAGUGUCGCUAUAACCUAAAAGAGUGCUGCUAAUUUACCAAAACUUAUUUAAGCAUUUAGCAACCGUCGAAAUUCUAUCUCGUUGGCUGCGGUGGCGGAGGAGGACGACAGAAAAGGCUCUUCGUCUAGAAUUUCAGUGGAUUGACUGAAGAGAGAAGAAAAGAUGGUAAUUAAUUUUUCUUUCUUUUUUUUCUUUUCUGUUUGUAAUCGGGCCAAAUGGACUGGCUGUGGUAAGUUGAGUAAAGUAAUCUUUUAUUUUUGGUUGGAUUGGGCUUUAUAUUUAGACAUUAGUAGAUGUUUUUUUUAAAUUUUAGUAUAAAUGGGACACUUACUCAAAAAUGUCCCAAACAUGUGUCCCUAUAACCUAAUUCUGUUGUAGUGAGAGAAGAAAAGAUGGUAAUUGAUUUUUCUUUUUUUUUUUUCUUUUCUGUUUGUAAUCGGGUCAAAUGGACUGGGUGUGGUGGGUUGAGUAGAGUAAUCUUUUAUUUUUGGUUGGAUUGGGCUUUAUAUUUAGGCAUAAGUAUAUAUUUUUUUAAGUUUUAGCAUAAAUGGGACACUUACUCAAAAGUGUCCCAAACAUGUGUCCCUGUAACCUAAUUCUGUUGUAGUGCUACCACCACCUACCACCACCUACCACUAUUAUCUCAACCCUACAUCUCUCCAUCUAAUGGUUAAAAAUUCAAAAACACCACCCCCUUGGUGCUUUUGAGAGUAUUCUGGUUCAACUCUCUCUCUCUCUCUCUAUAUAUAUACAUGAAUCCGGCUACUAUACUCUUAUGAGUACGAUCGCCUUCAUACUCAUAGGUUGUUUUUGAUGAUAGAGCUUCCAAAUCGACGAUCCAUAUCGUUAAACAUUAUCUAGAGCAUUUAAAACUUCUAGAAAUCAAAUUUUAAAAUUGUUCGAUAUCAUUUUCCCUACGAUCAAAAGCUCACAAAAUUGACAAUUUUUAACGAUCGGUAUGAGAUAUUUACUAGUUUAACGGUGAAAAAGAAUCGGAAUAGGUUGAAUUUUUAAUGAAAAAUUCUAUUCACUACCUAAAUAAAUAUCAAUCACUCCGAUCUUAGAUUGAAGAAUCUGAUCAUCUAUUUUUACGAUGUCGUUAGAUUUUAACCGUUCAUUUUAUACCUGCUUGAUGGACUUUAAAAUGAUUUCGAAAAAUUAGAAAAUUUAUUUUUUAAAAGUUUCAAAUACUCUAAAUCAUAUUUAACGGUGUGGAUCGUUAAUUCGAAAAUCCCAACAUCGAAAACAAUUUAUAAGUAUGAAAGGCUCUAUACUCAUAGGACUAUAGUAGCCUUACUCUAUAUAUAUAUAUAUAUAUAUAUAUAUAUAUAUAUAUAUAUAUAUAUAUAUAUAUAUAUAUAUAUAUGAGUGAUGCUACUAUGCUUUUGGAAGCGCGAAGCCUUCUGUGCUUCCAGGUCAUUUUCAAUGUUGCGACUUUCGAAUCGUCGAUCGGCUCCGUUAAACUUGAUCUAGAGUAUUUGAAGUAUCUAGAAAAUAAUUUUUAUGAUUUUUAGAUAUCAUUGACCUAGUGAUCGAAGGGCUCAAAAUUAAUAAUUUUAAUGGCCGUAGUGAGCCGUUUGCAAGUUUAACGAUGUAAAAAUAUCCAAAUCAUGUGAAAUUUUGAUAGAAAAUUCUUUAUACUAUAUAAAACAAGAUCAAUAUCAUUAAUCUAAAAUUUUAAUGUCAUAUUAUCACGUUUUGUAAGAUUUUUAUUUUCAGCCGUUGAUUUUGAGCCCCUUUGUUCACUAGGCACAUAAUAUCGAAAAAUCGCUUAAUUUAUUUUCUAGGUAUUUCAAAUACUCUAGAUCAAGUUUAACGGAGCCGAUUGACGAUUCAAAAGUCGCAACAUAGAAAACGAGCUGGAAGCACGGAAGGCUCCGUGUUUCCAGAAGUAUAGUAGCCUCUCUCUCUCUCUCUCUCUUUGUAUAUAUAUAUGCUCUUGUGCUUUCAAAAGCACGGAGGCCUCUAUACUUGUAAGUUAUUUUCAAUAAUAGAAAAUCUAAUUCGACGAUCGGCUCUGUUAGACAUGAUCUACGUUAUUAGAACCAUUUAAAAACCAAAUUUUAUAAUUUUUUGACUUCAUUUACCUAGUGAUCGACUAGUCUCAAAAUAAACAAUUGAAAAUAAAAAUCUCAUAAAAAAUAGUGAUAAAAGACUCGAAUUGCAAAUUAAACGUAUUGUUCACGAUGUUAAGUAGAAUUUUUAUUAAAGUUUAAUAUAAUUUGAAUUCUUCUACGCCAUUGAACUUACAAAUAUACCAUAUUGACUGUUAAAAUAGUCAUUUUUUAGACCCAUUCAUCACUUGAUAAAUAAUAUCAAAAAAUUAUGAAAUUUGAUUUUUAAAUAGUUCUAAAAGGUAGAUUAUGCUUUACGGAUCCAAUCGUCGAAUUAGACGUCUCAUCAUGGAAAAUAACUUACAAGUACGAAAGCCUCCAUACUUUCAAAAGCGCAGGAAAUGUACUCUUAGACACGGAGGCCUCCGUAUUUUCGAAAGCGCAAGAAACGUACUCUGNACCAUUAAAAUUAUAAAUUUUGAAACCCUUUGAUCAUUAGGUCAAUGAUGUCGAAAUGAUUUAAAAUUUGGUUUCUAUAUAUUUCAAGUGGUAUAGAUCAUGUUCAACAGCGUCGAUCGUCAAUUUAAAGACUCCAUCAUCGAAAACAAAUGGGUGGCAACGAAGCUAGUUUACUACCAAUAGCAUUCCAGCUCAACUAUAUAUAUAUAUAUAUAUAUAUAUAUAUAUAUAUAUAUAUAUAUAUAUAUAUAUAUAUAUAUAUAUAUAUAUAUACACUUCAAAAGCAAUAAUUAUUUUGUAAUCUGACCUGGGUAAAUAUGUAUGCCUGACGGUCCAGCAUGGCACGGCCCAUUAUUAUCUCUGGCUAUGCGAGCCACUAAUAUAAUAUGGUUCGAUGUCAUUUUUAUUAUUAUUAUUUUCUUGUAUUUUCUUAAAAAAUUGCUUUACCUUAUAAUAAAGUAAUCUAAAUUAGUAUUAAAAUGUCAAAUAAUGAUCAUACAGCUAUAAUCAGUUUACUAAAUAUAUAAUAAUGUCUAUAUUUUUUAAAACUCAUGCUACGGGAAUUUUAGAAAUGGGAUUAUAAAAUUAAUAAAUAAAUAUAGCUUGGCCCCCCACGCAAGGUACGGAUCAUAUUGUACCCUUCCUCCAUGUGCAACGACUUUUAAUGAAGUAAAAAAAAAAAAGAAAAUGAAAAAGAAAAAACAUCUCUAAUUUUUUGUUCGCCAAUAUUUUAGUGAGAAACAGGGCGUACGUACACGCGCGGCACACAUUUAAGGAUGGAUUUAAUAGAAAAUUAUGGUACAAAACUAAAAGAAAAAAAAAUUAUGAAGUUUUGUUUGAAUGUCGAAAUAAAUAUUUAAUGAUAAUUUUUUAUAUAGUAGAAAGAGAUUUCUUUUGUGUGUUGGAAAGUUACAAUCCAUUUUGCAUUUUAUUUUUUGAAAGUUCUUGAAAUGUAUAAUUUACUAGAAUAAUAUAUUUUAUCUAUCGAAUAAUUUACUUUAUUUUUAAAAAUAAUUUAAAAAUUAAAUAAAAUAUACGAUUAUAGAUAUAAAAAAUCAUAUUUUUUUAAAGUAAAUCAAAAGAAUUAUUGAAUUUAUAAAAUAUUUAUUCAUCCAAAUAAAGCUUAAAGAGUGGGCGGUUAUAAGUCAACACCUUGUUAAAAAGCCAUCGAUUUAUUAAACAUUAAUUUUAUUUUUUAUCUAAAGAUUAGAUUAAAUUUUUUUUUUUUAUAUUUUAGUAUUCAAAAACACUUUUAAUGAAUCUUAAAAUAGAGGUAAAAUUUAUACAUGGCAUCAUAGGGAGAUCCCUGUUCAAGUUUUGUCCGUACGUAACGUAUCUGCAUACGCAAAAUAAUAAUUUAUUAAAGUUCACGGGUGACGUGGUGAACGCGGUCCACGAAACAGUAGACCGAUCGAUACCCCACGUGGGAGGCGCACUUUGGCUGAAUCCUAUCCGGUGGGUCCCACUACUACUAAGGCUCGGAUUGGUUCGUAGAAAACGCGCGCGCACGACUUCCAAAGCAGAGGUCUCCUUUUCUUUCCCUAUUAAAACAAGGUUACUAUCACGAAGGAAACGUACGUAGGCCCCCCCCAUGCAUUUUCCCUCUUAUGGAAACCCCAACGAUGCUUCUUUUUAUAUAAAAAAACAAUAUUAAUUUGUCUCUUUAUUUAGUUGUUUAUUAUUUUAUGUUAUUUUAUUUUAUUUUAUUUUUGGUUAUGGUCCUGAAAAAGUCCUCAGACCUUGACCACUGCUAACCAUAUGUACAUGUUGGAAUAUAUAUAUAUACAUGGUAAUUGGGAGUACAAUUAUUGCAUGAUAGAAUACAUAUAUACAAAAGGUUUAUUCUAAAAUAAAAUAAUUCAAGGUAAAAUGUAUGAAAAUAAUAUUCAAAUAUGGUGAUUUGAUUCCUAUAUUCUUUACUUGGGUAUUAUACAAAAUUAUAGAUAAGUUUUACUUGUGAGUAAUUUGCUCAAACUUUGAAUUCGUUGGUCUCUGCAUCGUUUCGCACACGAGUUAUUUUUUUAAACAUGACAAUCUAUGUGCAUGUUUCUGUAUAUUUUUAUCUAUUAGUAAAAGCAACUAGAAUGGAAGACAUGUGCUUCCAAUUUUUUUCUUUUUUUUUUCCUAUCUUUUUGGUUUUCAGAAACUAUUUUAACAUACAAGAGUGUGCCUAUGAGUAGAGUAUAUUUUUUAUAGGCCUGGCACAAUUUUGAUACCAUGAGCAAGCAUGUCAAAUACAGUGUGUGGAUAUAAUUAAAAGCCUUAUAGAAAAGAAAACUCCACAAAAAAAAAGGUCACCUAAUGCUUUUAAGAUGCUCUAAAUUAAUUAAUUAUAGAGAUCUGAGCAAGUAAAACCAUAAAUUAAAUCAGUAGAGUUUUUUAAAGAAAUUUACAAUCUAAUUUUUUUUUGAAAUAAACUUUACAAUAAAAAUUGUCUUGAAAUCAACAAUUUUGAAAGUUUAAAAUGGACCAACUAACCUGGAUUUCCAUUGCAAAAAUAUAUUUAUAUAUUUAGAUCAAUAUUUUAAUUAGAAGUGUAUUAUAUCCAAAAUUAUAUAUGAUCUAUAUAUAUUCUCCAAAUGGAGAUGGUUUUGUACUUAAUAACUACAUUAAAAAUCAUAAAUGCUGGGGAAUGGCUCCUUGUUGGGGUGGGAAAUAAGGUUGAUAAAAGGUUGGUUAUGUUCUCUGCAUAUAGUACCAAGUGGCGCUUAUUGUUUCACAUCAUAUUACUCUAUUAUUGCCCACGUUCAGAGAACCAAAUUAAGUGCUUAUUCUGCUGGGAAUAGGGACUGCUGUUGCAUUUGCGGGUCAGAGGGAAUAAUUGGCCAAACAUAUGCAUCCACAUGUCACAAUAUAUAUAUAAAUAUAUAUAUAUAUAUAUAGAGAGAGAGAGAGAGAGAGUUAUGCUGAAAUACUAUUAAUAGUAUGAUAGUAUCCACUUUGUGAUCAUUGGAUGCCUAGGGUGUGAAACAACCGUUGUACUCUAAAAGCUUAAGCUGUUAAAGAACGGUAUUUAAACAUUUUUAUAUUUAACACUCCCCCUCACGUCUGGGCUCGAGACUUUUUUUUUGUCGGCCCAUGACGUGGGCUGAAUUAAAUGGGAGGAAAUUAAUAUACUAGGAGCCUGGCGUGACUCGAACUCAGGACUUCCUGCUCUGAUAUCAUGUGAAACAACCGUUGUACUCUAAAAGCUUAAGCUGUUAAAGAACGGUGUUUAAACAUAGGGCUGAGUAGAUGGUUUGUGUAAUAUAUAGUAAUGAUCCAAAGGAGGAAACAUGAAAGGUUUGUAUUAUUAAUAAUAUACCAGCUGAACUAUAUUUAUAUAUAAUAUAUAAUUAAGUUUCUAUGUUUUUAAAAGCACCAAAUUAUUGGUGCACAUAGGUUUUCGACCUUUGGAUAUGAAGAUUUGUCGGAUUAGGAUUAUUGCGGUUGAGUGAGUGGUUGAUUGAAUAGUAUAAUUUAACGGAUGGAAAUAGUCAAAGGGAUAGAUCUGACAACGGAAAACUUAUAAACAUUAAGUGAUUGAUGCUUUUGAAAACACCAUAGCCAGACUAUAUAUAUACAUAGAUGUUGUUUUCUAUAAUGUUUAGAUCACCUAAUAUUAUUUUAUUUUUGGCUAAAACACAUGAGAUAAUCCUUCCGAAUAUAAUACGAUUUACAUUUACUUCGACUUUUGCUGGUAUUAAAAACUUAUUAACAAUUUCUCUCAACCUUUUAUAGAUGUUGUUUUCGCUUAGGGCCCAUUUGAUAUUGAGGGGUAGUUAAUGCUAGAAGGCAAAACAAGUUGCGGCGAGUAUGUAGAAAUAUAUUUUUCUCUUUUGUAGUGAGACCGUGGAAAAUAUAUUUUAACCCUCUUUUUGAAUUCUAUUAUAGAACUAGGCUAAUAUACUAUUAAUAGCACCAAGUCAUUGGUGCUACCAAGUUUUUGGCCAUUGGAUUAAGAGAUGUGCGGUUAGGAUGAUGUGAGCCCCCAAGGGUUGAGUGGGUGGUUGGUUAAAUAGUAUGAUCUAACGGAUGAAAAUGAUCAAAAGGGUAGAUCUAACGGCAGAAAACUUGGUAGCACCAAGUGCUUCAUGCUAUUAAUAGCAUAGUAGCCGGACUCUUCUAUUAUAUAUCCAUAUGAAGUUAUAUUUUAAACUUUCCUUUUUCUAAAAAUAAAUGCCGAUCGAUAGGGAAGCCAUAGGAUAGCUGUCUAUUUGCUUCAUUAUUGUUUAUGGCUAGAAGUACCUCUUUAGUGACAUAGCUGAAAUAAGCUUUUGGCAUCUCAUAACUGAAGCUUAACUUAGUUUGAAUCUACCAUUUUUUCUAUAACAAGAAGCUGUUUAAAGAAUUUUAAUAUCUUGACUUGGUAAUGCUUAUCUUCUAAACAUCUCUAAUCGAAAUGAUCACACUUCUGUAGAAGCUUCAGCUUGACCAAACAGAUCUGUAAUGCUUAUAAUUAACUUGGCCUAAUAUUUUUGAACAUUUUUUCCACUCUAAAGUGCCUCAAUUAAUUAACCAUUCGACAAAAAAAAGAAGAAAAAUCUAAAAUUCAGUUGUGGCGAAAGGAUUGCUUAAUUUUUGUAAUUAUCCACAUUUGUUUGUUGUUAUGGUUUAAUUCCAUAAGGACCUAGCUACAUAUCAUAGAAUAGCUAGAUGUUCAAGUGGUGCAAUUUUAAACUCUAAGAGAAGGCAAAGUGGAAUUAUUCAAUACUGGCUAAGCGAUAAGUUGUUUCAUAAAUUUUUUAAUCAGCAAUUUGCAGGCUUUAAUAAUAAGGCUUAUGACUAUCACAUGCUAAUUAACCAUUAAAAAUGCUUAAGGUAAUAUGUUCUUUUGGAUUGAUCGGAGAAUUAAAAUAACAAAGAGAGGACAAAGAAAACGUGCUAUAUAUAACUUGGAAGAUAAAAAGUAAUUAACAAAAGUCCCCUCCCACCCAGGACAUUUAAUUUAAACUAUAGUAUCUGAUUUAUUCUGUAUACAUUGACAUUGAUCAUUUUUAUUGUUAUAUUUGAGUUAUCCAAAUUAGUUAAAUUAGAAUUAAGUUCUUAAAUUCACUAUUAGUUAACAUUUAGCUUCAAAGAAAUCAAAAGAGAGAUCAAUAAGAUUACAAAGUUGGGGGCCCUUUUAAUCUAGGGAUCGAUACUAUACAAAUUAACUUAUAAACAGUAAAGUUCAAUCAACGAACUAUUUUGAUUUUGAUCAUGACCAAUCGUUUGCCUUCUCUUUGCUUGAUCAUAAAACCGAAUGAUUGGAAAACAACAUACGCACUCUUUCUAUUCUAUUGAUGGCAAAAUAUAUAUGUAGCUUAUACGAUUAAUUGUUAGUGAUAUACCCUAAAGCCAAUCGGUGACACAGGCUUGUGAACAUAUUAAGUAUUUUUCUUAAUUAAUAAAUAGCAAGUUUUAUUCAUAUUUAUUGUUAGCAGUACAAUACAUAUAUAUGAAUCGUUCAUUGAAUCUUCGUUAAGAAAAUAUAUUCCUAAGAGUUAGGAAUUUGAGAUAUAUAUUUCUUUGUACAAGAUUCUUAAAUGUUCCUAGCCAUAGGAAUAUCAUAAGGACGAUGAUAUUUCCGGAUAGGCCGGUGUAAGCUGUACUUCUAAGUUGAGGUGACGAAUCUCAAGUCAUUAGUGUAGGGACACUAAAGUAAACAUGCAGGUGCUUGUUAGCGAACAAGUACACUGAGCAUGACCAUUUAAUUAGUUGAACAGUCACAUGGUUCUGAAUUCGCCAGUGACUAGUUCUUUGCUACAGUUGUGUGAAGUACUCCUUAGACCUGAGGCAUCAUAGUUGCUUCACAUGUAGAUUGCUACUGUUUAACUGUACUAAUACUUAGACUCUAAUCAUUGGUCUAUAUCUGGUACUGAUUGGUUGUAAUAGUUUAUAUGGGGAGGCAUGUGAAUGCGCAAUAAGGAAUUCAACACUCUCAAUAGUGAGAGAGAACGUCCCAUGUAGACUAUCGAACUUGACUCAAAAAAUCCUUGGCCAAGAUACGUGGUGUGUGGAAAGAGUUUCCAGUUGUGUUACCAUAUUGAGUUAGUUUUAGAUAUUCUAGUCAUAUGAUCGAAUAAUAAGAUUUGGCGAGUAACCAUAAUUUUAGUUCGAUCGGGACGUUGUGUGUUGGAAGGAAUUAAUCACACGGUAACGAUUAGCGGAAAGGUUCGUUUUUCAUCAUCAUUCUGGAUUGCGGUAAUAUAUUGCUAGGUGUCACUCGCGGACAGUGAGCAAAGUAAAAAUAAUUUAAAUAAAUUAUUUUAUAGAUUAGAAGAGUUCUAAUUCAAUAUUGAAGGGUUUGAUAUUGGACCUCAAUACCGAAUGAUAAUGAACCUAUGCGGUCACACACAAUAGGAAUUGUGUGCAUCCAACAUAAUAAGAUGAGUCUAAUACACUAAACAGUUUAGUGGAAAUAGUGAGAAUUAUAAUUUGAAUUUGAAUGUUGCGAAAGAUUUAAUCUCUAAUUAGAUUAGAGAAUAGUUAAAUAUUCAUAGAUUAUUAUGAGAUAAUAAUAUUCUAAUUAGAUUAGAUUUAAAUAUGAAUAUUUAAUUAUAAUUUAAUGGAUAAGAUCCAAUUAAAUUAAAGAGAGAGAUAAAAGAUGAGAUAUCCAUAUGAAUAAGCAUAAAUUUAUACUCAUCCUAUGUGGCAACUAAUUGGAUAUGAUCCAAUUAGUAUGCAUGGCAACUAAUUGGAUGUAAUCCAAUCAGUUGCAACAGGUAGUGGGAUGUGCCGGUUUGUAUGGCUUUAAUUAAAUCGUGGGAUUUAAUUAGUUGCAACAGAUUGUGACAUGUACAUAGGGCGCGGCUACAUUAGUAGUUAAUUGAGGAACUACGUGAGGAUAUAUAUAAUAUCUACACGAGAGGGAUUUAAUGAUUGCUUCUUGAGAAGUAUCAGAUAAUUCAUCUCUCUCUAUUAUCCUUCGUAAAAAUCAAUAACUCUCACAAAAGGGAAUGUGGAUAUCAUAAGACUGCUAGCACUUUGUAAUCUGCGAUUCAUCUGUUCCGUGCGAUGGAAGGUGUUGGAUCUGGAUCAAUUCCGUGUGGAUAUGCGUAGAGGCCGGGCACGUACGCGGCUAAUCGGAAUCUCAGUUUCAAUCGUACAGUAGAUCGGAAUCUCAGUUUCAAUCGUACAGUAGAUCAAGAGACCUUAACUGGCCCGAGGUAAUAUAGCCUGAACUUCAAAUCUGUUUAGGUUAGAUUAUUAUUUUACAUCGUAACAUGAGAAUGAUCCGCCGGCACUAGAUUGAUUUGUUUUGUUUUGGUUCAUAUUGAUAUGGAUAUUUGUUUUUCGAAAACAUGAUAUUUAUUUCCGCUGCGAUUUUUGUGCCGGAUAAUUUCUUACAUUAAUAACCUAUAGUACUCUUAUUUUGUCCAAAAAUUGGCUAUGUAAACCAAGAAAGAUUAUAUUAUUCGUAUGACACUAUUGUUAAAUAAUUGCAGCAGCAUCGUACUUAUUCUACACGAUUGAUCAGCUUUUCAACUAACCAAAUUGUAAAGUCUAUGGAUUGUCAAUAUUAAUUUGUUUUAAAACAACACUUAAAACAAAAUAAAGAAAUGAUCUCUAGCUGGCCGAGUGCUUAAUGAUUAUUAAUAAUAAAUGAAGCCCAAUGUUUACUAUCUUUCUCUCAAAAUAAUAAUAAUGAUAAUAAUAAUUGGUUUGUAUUAUAAUAUGUUUUGCUUUAUAUAUAUAUAUAUAUUUUUUAGAAAAAUAAAAAAAUAUCUUGUGUACGGACAAGGUGAUGAACUUCCAAUAGGGGAUGAUGAUGAUGAUGUAAUCAUUUGUUUGUCGUAUCUAGCCGCCGUACGUCAUUGGCCCACGUGAGUUACUGUGUACAUGCAUGUGGACCCCAUAUCCAAUAAUAACUAUAAUAAUUACUCUCUCUUCCCCUUAACCCCAUUUUACUGGUCAAACCCAUUCACCUCUCCCUUGAAUUGUUGAAUCCCCCCACUCAAACUAUAAAAACCCCUCCACCCCAACGUCCAAAAAUCGCAGCUCAAGUGUUUGUGUACAACCAACUAAGUAAUAAUCUCUAGCUUAGCUACUCUUGUUGUUGUUUUUUCUCUCAUAUCCCAAUGGAUUCUCCUAAUUCCUACUUCUCCUCGUCGUCGUCGUCGUCGUCGUCGUCGUCGGACUCGUCUUUGUUCGGCGAAUUCUUUCCUUUCGGCCCCGACGAUGCCGAGGAGAUGCUCUCCUUCGGCACGCUCGCCGACACUGGCGAAGGCGCGCCCCCCGAUGAGGCGAAAAAGAAUGGCGCGGAGGAGGGCGUGGCGGCGGCGGCGGGGAGAAAGGAGAGGAGCUAUAUAGGGGUGAGGCGGCGGCCGUGGGGGAAGUUCGCGGCGGAGAUACGGGACUCGACGCGGAACGGGGCGCGGGUGUGGCUGGGGACGUUCGACACGGAGGAGGCGGCGGCGCUGGCCUACGACCAGGCGGCGCUGUCGGUGCGAGGCGCGGCCGCGGUGCUCAACUUCUCCGAGGAGCGGGUGAGGGAGUCACUGGAGGGGCUGCAGUGGGGGGAGGAGGAGGAGGGGUGCUCCCCUGUGAUGGUGUUGAAGAAGAGACACUCCUUGAGGAGGAGUAGGGGUGGUGGUGGUGGUGGUGGUGUUGGUAGGAAGAGGAGGAGGAGGGUUGUGGUGAGCCAUGGAGAAGAGGAUGAUCAGGAGAUCAAAGAGGUGGUGAGGGUUGAGAAUGUUGUGGUGUUGGAGGAUUUGGGGGUGGAGUAUUUGGAAGAGAUUCUGAGAAUCUCAGAGAUUGCAAACACUACCUACUACUCCUCUACUGAAUUAUAGUAUAUUAACUUAGUUUGAUCCUUUGUUGUUAAUUUUCUUUUUUACUGUAACAAUAUCAUGAUUGAUCAAAUGGUAUAUGAUUACUUUAUUUAUUUAAUUAAUUAAGUUUUUUCUUUCUCCUCCUCCUCCUCCUCUACUCAUCCUCUUCUCCUCUUCCUCCGUCGCAAGCUACCGUUGUCGAUCGACGCAUUCAUAUAUGAUUUCCCAUAUAUGAAUUUCAUUUGUGAUUUGUUUUUGUCUAAUUUGUCCAUCCUUUAUUUAUUCAUCUUUUAUAUCCUAAUAAAAAUUUCUUGAUAUAAUUAAUGAUACAAUUAAUCACUGAUUUAAUAUGUGAAUUAAUGUAUCCCUAGCCUUUUUGCUCCUCCUCUUCCUUUGUGUUCAUGUUGUUUGCUUUUGUUCUAAUUUGUCCAUGCUUAUUUUUUUUUUUCAUAUAUUUUAAUAAUUUCCUUAUAUAUAUAUGUACAUGUGAGUGAAUAUAUAUCAUCUAUAUAAACUUGUCUUUCUCCUCCUCCACUCAUCCUUAAUUCUCCUCGUCAUCCUUAGUUGAGAUGAGGUCAACAAAGGAUGAAUAAAAACAAAAAAGAAAAAAAAAAGAAGGAUCCAAGAAGAGGCACAAAAUAUAAUAUUGUAUAAUUUCCAGAAAAAAUGUCAAUACAAUUUUUUAAAAAAAAAAAUUAACAGUAAGAGUUUAAUUAAGUGAUAGUAAUGUUUUGAUAGAGAGGUUCCAAGUGGUUGUGGAUAGAGACAAUAUUGUGCCACUUGCAAAAUUACAGGGUUAAUUAAUUAACCUUAUUUUCAUUCACAUCAAUAUAUGUUUACCUUAAAUUUAAUCAUAUUUAUAAUAUAGAUUUGUAUACUUUGCUGGAUAGUAAUUUCCUACAAAACUAUUUUUUGAGGAGUCACUCAUUUCAUGAAAUUAAAGUUGGUUUUUAUUAAUUUGGAAGUCCCCAAAUUGAAUUUUUUUGUUUUUUUAGCUCAAUUUUAUUGUGAUGGAGUGGACGGCGAAUGGACUUUAUUCUUGUUAUUAUUGUUUAGCCAGAAAGCUCAUCUUGUUUCAGAAAAACAAAUAUCGAUCGUGGCGUAAAAACUUAUAAUAACUUAAUUUUUGUUUUAUGUUGCUAAAUAAACCAUAUAAAUAUGUAGAUAUCUAGCAAGAAAUUCACCAUGCUACAGUACAUUCAAUCGUAUAAAAUUUGAGAUUAAAGAAAAAAAGGAAACGAAAAACUUAAUUAGUGUAACCAAACAAGUCCUAAUGAGCUUCGAAUUGUUUGACACGUUAUCAAAUUUCAAAUUUUGUAACAAUCAUGAUCACUAUGCUCUAUUAUGAUAUAAUUUUAUCAGAAUUGAUCGAUUCGUUAAUUUAAUUACAAUUGUUUGAUCUCCAUAUAUAUGUAUAUGGUUGGUAACUGAUUCUACAGUUCCUUUAAUUGGUAAAAAAAAAAAAAAAAAAAGUUAGAGAAAUGAAGAAAGUGUAGAGAGUUUAAAGUCCAACUCCUUUUUUUGUGAAUAAUAUUCUGUUUUGAUCGAGGGUUGCUACUAAAAUUAGUAUCGGAGUUGAAAAUUUCAAAAUUUCAAGCUCAAAUCAGCGAUAAAUAUUUUCUCUACCAAGUGGAAAUUGAAGAUUAAUAAUAUUUUGUGUUAGUAGAUUAAUUAGAUAAAAUGUCAGAUCAUUAUUAAUCCUUCUUCAAAUUGUUAAAUUGUAUGAAACAACCAUUUAUCUUCAGUAGCUUAAGCUUAUCAGAGAACGGUAUUUUUAAUAUUUAUAUUUAACACUUCUCAUCACGUUUAAGCUCGAGACCUCGUGAUAGGCUCAAGAUGUAACUUGAAUUAAUUGGAAAGAAAUUAAAUAAUGUUAGGAUCGUAAUCGGACUCGAACUCAGAACCUAUUAAUUAAACAACCAUUAUUCUCCAAAAAUUUAAAUUACUACAGAAUGGUGUCUUUAUUCAACAAAAGUCACAUCAGUUGUCAACACAUUGGAGAUUUUUGUGGAGGCACUGAAAUAAAAUUUAAAAUGGAAUCGCAUACUUUGCUAAAAACAAAGAUCAACAGUGUAGAAAAUUAGAAACUCUCCUAAAUUCAGUGCACAAAAUGUAAUUAAGACUUUUGGAUUAUAUAUAUACAUGGAAAUUACUAUAGAUGGUACUGUAGUUUUAGUUGGAAAAGGUGGAAUUAAUUCAACGUUCAUUUGUCAAAUGAAAUAAAUAAAAGAAGCUGGUACAAUAUGGAAAAAUAAAGCCAAUAAGGUGACAGUAGAAAAAGCCAAAGUCAAAGUAUCAGAUCUGAUACAGGGGUUAUCAUGAAUGCAUCACCACUAGCUUGUUUCUUUUCAUUGAUUAAUUUGAAGGGUUAUUUAAUUUAUAUUUAUAUCAUCAUAAUGAGGAAAUUUCCAUAGUCAAGAACUGUGGGCAGAUCAAAUUAAGCAGUGUUUUCUUGCCUUUUUGUAAGAGAAAUUUAGUAUAAGCAGUAGGAAUUUGUACAUGGAAAUUAAGCUAGAUGCGAAAGCAAAAGUAAAUUUGGUAUAAAAUUGGAAACCCAAGCAAUAAUUUGGCUUUAAAAACAAAAAGGGCUAAAAUGAGCAUAACCCGAUCUUUAUCAGUUUACUCCUUUCGCAAUUCUUUCGCAAUUCUGAUGUCACUCUCGUAGAAUAUUAGAAAAUGUGAAAAUGUAAUUUCAAAAUAAUUAUAUAAUUCUUAUAUCGAUAUAUAUUCUUUGUUAGGGAGUUUUGGACUCAGCUCGGACCUAUAUGAGUCCAAAGAUAUGACUUAUCUAAUGGAAGCUUAGGCCACAUAUAUAUAUAUAUAUAUAUAUAUAUAUAUAGAAUUAGGCUGGAAUACUAUUAAUAGUAAAAUGCUCUUUUUGCUAUCAAGUUUUUAACCCUUGGAUGAAAAAUUGUAGGGUCAGGAUGAUAUUAGUCGGUUAGAGUUGAGUGGUCCCCCUAGGGUUGAGUGGUCCCCACUGGGUUAUAGUAUUUAAUCCAAUGGUUAGAAAUAAUNCUCUCUCUCUCUCUAUAUAUAUAUAUAUAUAGAGUUGAGCUAUGAUACUUUUACAAGUAUCACCAUCAUGGUGCUAUUAGGUUUUAAGCCAUUGGAUCUACUUUUUGAUUAUUAAUAGCCAUUGGAUUAAACACUAUUCCACCUACCACCACCUACCACCAUCAUCUCAACCUCACAUCUCUCCAUCCAAGGGCUAAAAACACACAAGUAUCACCCCCAUGAUACUUUUACAAGUAUUCUAGCCCUACUAUAUAUAUAUAUAUAUAGAGUGGGCUGAUAUGCUUCUGGAAGCACGAAGCCCUCCGUGCUUCCAAGUUGUUUUCGAUGUUGGGACUUUCGAAUCGACGAUCGACUCCGUUAGAGUUGUUCUAGAGUACUUGAAGUAUCUAGAAAAUAAAUUUUGUGAUUUUUCGAUAUCAUUUGCCUAGUGAGUGAAGGGCUCAAAAUCAAUAAUUUUAAUGCCCGUGGUGAACCGUUUGCAAGUUUACGGUGUAGAAAUAUCCAAAUCAUAUGAAAUUUUAAUAGAAAAUUUUUUUAUACCAUAUAAAACAACAUCAAUAACUUUGAUCUAAAAUGUUAAUGUCAUAUCAUCAUAUUUUGUAACAUUUUUAUUUUGAGCCGUUGAUUUUGAGCCACUUCGAUCACUAGGCAAAUAAUAUUGAAAAAUCGCAAAAAUUAUUUUCUAGAUACUUCAAAUACUCUAGAUCAAGUAUAACGGAGCCGAUCGUCAAUUUGAAAGUCCGAAUAUCGAAAACAACUUGAAAGCACGGAGCACUCUGUGCUUCUAGAAGCAUACCAGACACACUAUAUAUAUAUAUAUAGAAUUAGGCUGGAAUACUAUUAAUAGUAAAACCCUCUUUUUGCUAUCAAGUUUUUAACCCUUGGAUGAAAAAUUGUAGGGUCAAGAUGAUAAUAGUCGGUUAGAGUUGAGUGGUCCCCCUACGGUUAAGUGGUCCCCACUGAGUUAUAAUAUUUAAUCCAAUGGUUAGAAAUAAUGAAAAGAGUUGAUCCAAAGGCUAAAAAACUGGUAGCAAUAAUGGUAUUUUGCUACUAAUAGUAGCCCAGUCCAACUCUCUCUCUCUCUCUCUCUCUCUCUCUCUCCGUCGGACCUGCCCUCCGCCCUCAUCUCCGCAGUUGCUCUCUCUCUUCUAAUAAUAUAUAUAUAUAUAAUAUAUCAUAGUCCGACUCCCGUACUUUCGAAAGUACGGGAGGCCCCUGCUUAUAAGUUUGUUCUGAUGAAGGACGUUCAAUCUACGAUCGGCUCUGUUAGGUAUGAUCUAACCCUAUUGGAACUAUCUAGAAACCAAAUUUUAGAUUUUUUUUAGCAUCAUUAACUAAGCGAUCAAAAGUCUAAAAAAUGACUAUUUUAACGGUCGAUGUGGCACAUUUUUAAGUUCAACGGAUGUAGAAGUAUUCAAAUUAACAUGAAAAUUUAAUAGAAAUUCUACUUAACAUCAGUAGCAAGAUCAAUACUUCCGAUUUAAAAUUUGAUCCUUUAUCACUAUUUUUAUGAGAUUUUCAUUUCACCGUUCAUUUUUGAGGCUACUCGUUCACUAGACAAACGAAAUAAAAAAAUUAUGAAAUUUGGUUUCUAAUAGUUCCAAUAGCGUAGAUCAAGUUUAACGGAACGAUCGCCGAAUCGGAUUGUCCAUCAACGAAAACAACUACAAGCACGGGCGCUCCCGUACUUUCGAAAAUUUUUUUUUCACUAGUUAGAGUAAAUCAGUACCUCUGGAUAGUAUACCGUCUAGUUAUAUAUAUAGAGUAAGAUCAUGUCGAAAAACAUCUUUUUAUAAUUUUUUUUCACUAUUAGAGUAAGAUCAGUACCUCUAAUCUUAAAUUCAGUAUUUUAUCAUUAUUUUUAUGAAAUUUUUUAUUUUCAGCCAUUCAUUUUUCGAUUACUCCGUUGAUAGGUAAAUAAUGCCCAAAAAUUAUGAAUUUAGUUUCCAAAUACUUUUAAUAGUGUUAGAUUAAGUCUAACGGACCGUUCAUCGAUUUAAAAGCCGCAUCAUUAAAAACAAACUUAACGACUUGGUAGCACUACCGAUAGUAUACCAGCCUAGCUUAUAUAUAUAUAUAUAUAUAUAUAGAUAUAGAGAGAGAGAAAGAGAGAGAAGAAGGAGAGAGAGAGAGAGAGAGAGCGCCAGGCCGGUUCUAUAAUAGCACCAAUGACUGGUGCUAUUAAGUUUUCUAGCCAUUGGAUUAAAAAAUGUGCGUUAGAAUGAUGUGGCCUCCUAAGAUUUGAGUGGGUGGUCAUUUGAAUAGUAUUUCGAACGGAUGAAAAAAAAAGAGUUAAUCUCAUACAUGUCCAACCUAGCUCCGAUAGUAUAACAACCUAGCUAUAUAUAUAUAUAUAUAUAUAGAGAGAGAGAAGCAGAGAGAGAGAGAGAGCUAGGUUAGAUCUAUCGCGGUAGCACGGAGGCCUCCGUGCUACCAAGUUAUUUGCAAUGAUGCGGCUUCCAAAUCGACGAUCGGUUCGGUUAGACUUGAUUUACACUAUUAAAAGUCUUUGGCAACUAAAUUUUAUAAUUUUUCGAUAUCAUUUACUAAUCAAACGAGUAGUUGAAAAAUAAACGGCUAAAAAUAAAAAUCUCAUAAAAAAUGAUGAUAAAAGAUUUAAAUUUAAAAUCAGAGGUACUGAUCUUACUCUAAAUAGUAAAAAAAAAUUUCUAUAAAAAUUUCAUCAGAUUUGAAUUGUUUUACACCGUUAAAUUCACAAAUGCAUCAUAUCGAUCAUUAAAAUUGUCAAUUUUGAGACCCUUUGAUCACUAGCCAAAUGAUGUCGAAAAAUUAUGAAAUUUAGUUUUCAAAUACUUUUAAUAGUGUAGAUUAAGUCUAAUGAAGCCGAUUGUCGAUUUGAAAGCCGCAUCAUUGAAAACAACUUAGUUUACCGAUAGUAUACCAACUUAGCUCUCUCUCUCUCUUUCUCUCUCUCUCUCUCUCUCUCUCUCUCUCUCUAUAUAUAUAUAUAUAUAUAAUCUUCUGAUAUGGAACUACUCAUAUUAGUGUGAACUCAGUAAUAUUCUUUUCCGUAUUAUUAACAAACUUACCAUUAACUUUUUCUUCAAAUUGUGAGCAACAGAAGCAUUAAGUUGGUCGCGAACAUGAGAACGAAUAUCCGGAUAUUAUUUUUCCAUCACACAAUGCCUAUAGUAGAUAUUUACAAUAAAAUUUCAAAAUUUUCAAAUAUUUUGUGGACGAUAAAAUUACAGAGGAAUUUAAGCUUUUAUACAUUUUUAUCAAGAGGAGAAGAACACAAAUAUUCUAAUUUAUCUGAAAAGUUACAUGAAUUUUAGCCUUUAAAAUAAGCACAAUAUAUAGGGAAAUUAAGUAAAAGCACCACAAAAAAUCAGUAUACUAGAAACUGCAAAUAAAUAAUAUCAUCUAUGGAAAAAUCAUAUAUAUGUGAGAAUAAUAUUGUGGUCCCAUGAGAAAGGUGAAUUCAAUAUUAAUUUGUCAAACCAAAUAAAACAAGCUUAGCUUAUACAAAAGAGGCCAAGUGAACUACCACAUCUGUUGUACCUAUGUUAUCAUCUUCUCAUUUAUAGUUUGACUAGAAAAAAAUUAUAUGAGAUGGGGAAUUGAUAGUCUAAAUUUGUGGGCAGUGUAUGUUCGUAGUACAUUUUUCUCCCCUUCAAAAAAUAAAUUAUAAGGUGUAGGACAUUUUAUUUUCAAAGCAUGAGUAUAUAUAUAUAUAUCCUGAGUAUUUUAUAAAUUUCAUGAUACUAAGAAAUACGACUAAGUCUAGGAAGAGUUUGGAUGUACUUUUAUAUAUAUCUCAACUGUACCAUGGGAGUUGGUUGAGAUCAAUCACUUUCUUUUUGGUCACACCUUCGAUUUCUAUAUAUUUUCAAUUAAAAAGUCCAAAUAUUCUACAAAAUGAGAAAACGUUAUUUACUUUAUUCUCUGAGAAGAUAAAUUCUAAUUUGAAAAUUCUAAUUUUAUGCAGUUUGAGAUGGACGGCGAUCGAUAGUGUUUCAUUAAAUAUCACUAUACCUUGCAGUGAAGCUAAUGCGUCCGGACAAAAAUUUUGUAGGCAUCGUCCCCAAACAAAUUGUUUGGAGACGAUGCCGAUAGGCGCCCAUCGCGACCCUCGGAAACAAAAAAAAAAAAAUUAUGGGCUCCAAUUUUUUAUAGAGAGAGAGAGAGAGAGAGAGAGAGACGGUCGUGAUGGGCGCCCGCACACCACACGGCGCCCAUCGGCUCCGUCUCCAAACAACUUAAUUGUUUGGGGGCAGAUGCCCGCAAAAUUUUUGUCCAAUGCGUCCUAUGUGUUUGUUCAAUCUUGAGCUUUGAAAAGCCUCGUCCUUCCGGGAAGCUGAGAGUUUAUUUAAACUUUUGGCUAUAAAAGCAUUGUACUUUUUAUUUGUUAUUUAUGGUGUAUUAUUUUUCAACGGCAGAAAGAAAAAAAAAAAUUAUCAUAAAAAUAAGACCAAGGAGAUGCCAAAUAAGGUUGAAAGAAGUUUUUUCUCGAGGCCUAUUUUGAUAUAUGUUGGAAUAAGUUGUAUAGUGAUAACGAUCUCCAAAACCAACCUAAAUUUGAGAUUAGGGGAAUGAGCUUCAACUUGACUCGAAUCACAAAUUUCAAUUAGAUUACUAGACUACGAAUUCGGAUAGAAUUUGAAUCAAGAUGUUCCGACCUGAAACUCUUUUCGAUGAGUCUACAGUAAGCCUGGUUUGGGUCAUGUAUAUAUUUUUCUUAGGGAAAACUUCAAAAACCCCCACCUGUGGUUUCACACUUUCUCACUUUAGUACCCUGUGGUUUAAAGUGUAUCAAUUUAGUGCUCUGUGAUUUCAUUUUUCUCUUUUUAUUAUCAAUUUCAUUAUUUUUUUUCUUUAAAUCAAUGACAAAGUUAAAAUUAAAGGAUAUUAAAGUAAAUAUUUAAUAAAUCUAGGUGGGUAUCUGAAGUUUUUUUAUAUAUAAUUUAACGAAAUAUUAACGAAAAAGCUGCCAAAAAGAUAAAAAUGAAACCACAAGGCAUCAAAUUGAUACACUUUAAAUCACAGGGUACUAAAGUGAUGAGAAAAUGCGAAACCACAUGAGGAAUUUUUGAAGUUUUCCCCUUAGAUUGGUUUGGAUCAAGUUGCUUAAGGUUGGAUUAGCUAAGAUUUUGUUACUAUUGAGUUGAAAGGAUGUAACAUAUGUUCUUGGGUGAAAAUGGAUUAAAGGUUUGGGUGAAUUUCUCCAUAAACUGUUGUUGGAAGGGUCAUGAUUAUGAAUGAUGUUCCAUUGAUUGAGUUCGAAAUUUGUUCGUUCGAUUUGAUCAGUCACUGAAAACCUGCCCAGUUCAGAUUUAGAUUUGGGGUUCAGGUUGAACUGGUCAAAUCGAUUUAGAGUUGAGCUUUAUAGUUUUAUUACUUGAGAUCAACCCAAACUAAGUAUAGAUGCACUUCUAUGAAGUGCAACAUUAUUAGCCCUACUAACCCUAGAAAAAAUUAACUAUAAAUUCAAAUAAAUAUGGGACCAUGCAUGCUACCCUAAUGAAACUAACACUUUGUUUUUUCUUCUUUCUUUCAAUUUGUUCUCUUUUUUUUUUUCCUUCAAUGGAAAGGGUUACUUGCUCCAUUCACUCCUCAACUUUUGAAUGGAAAGGGUUAUUUAUAUUGUUUUAGUUUAAGUCUUUACCAUAAAAAAUGACGAUAAAUUAAUCGGACAAUCGAUAUUUACCACGUGACGAGGUUCGGUGCUGAUGUAGUAAAAAUGAUUUAAUACUGAUACGACGAUUACCAUUAGAACUAAUAGUAACACUCAGCCCACCGAUAGUAAUAACUCGCUAGACCGAAAGCAUUCGCCCAAAAUGCUUCACUAACCACAGUUAUAAGAGACCAUAACGUUCACGUUAUGUCCAAUUUUUUAGUCAUUCUCUAACUUAAAAAAAUCAUCAAACAAUGUGAGACAUAUAUCACAUUUUCGGCCCGAAAAAACGACUGAACCCUCUCGCACUAAUAUCUCACUCGGAACAAAACUACCGACUCAAAAUAGUUAAGCUCAGUUAUUCAAACUAGAGUUAUAGUGGCCAUAGGCCCAUUUUGGCCCAAUUAAAUUAUAGCCCACUUGGUUAUGGGCCCAAGCCCAAGUAGCUACCGUUAGAUGUAUCGGCAAAUAAAAGUGUCGGGAAAUUAGGGUUUCCACCGCGAAUCCUCUUCUUCUUCUUCGUCUUCUUCUUCCCCGAGCAAUUCACCUCGAAUCCCUCGUCCAUGGCCGCUUCUCGCGUGCUUCAGCGGCGCCUCGCCUCUUUGCUCCGUCCCAAUCGACCCCCGUCUCUCGUCUCCCCAGGUUGUUCUUCGCCUCUCGCCCUGAUUUCGCUCUUCUUUGUUGUUCUCUUGAUGCUGUGUAUGCUGAUGUUGUUGGUGGAUAUGAAAACAAGCAGAGGAAAUAGAGAAAUUGGUGUUUGUAAAGACUCGAUCUUUGCAUGCUAAAUGCUUCUUAAUUGCUUUACUUUUGCUUUUAGUUUACUGGAUUUUGCUCGAGAGCUUGCCCUUUUUCCCCACUGUAUUGUCGAUUGGGUAGUGGCUCUUUAGGGUUUUAUGUGAUUCCAUUUUUGCCGUUUACUCUUUUUUUUUUGUUUUUGAGAUAGUUUAGGAGGAAUUUAAAUCAAACAGGUUGAUGGGGUUGUGCACUUAAUGAACUUAAACCAUUAUUUGCUGAUCUCCAAUAAGGUUUUAGAAACUUAUGACAAUGGUUGUUUUUGAUCCUUUUCAUAAUCAUAAUCACUUUUGGAUCAUCAUUCAUGUUCAAUCAUGAUCUGUUGAUAUCUAUGUAGUUGUACCCCAAAGCUGUGGAGUUGCAGGGGUGGUAAUUAUAGGACACAAAAUAUAGAGUAUAUAUGGCUCAUGAACUCUGUUUUUGGCUUUAAAAAUGUGAGAAAUCGAAUAAUUCAUUGAGCCAACAAAUUAUAUUCUGUAAUAAUAGACCAUCCCUCCGUGGCGUGUGGAAAAUGCAAACCAUUUCUAUCCGACCUUGUUCUUGCCUAUUAACUGAUUUUUUGGUGAAUUGAGAUUCUAUUCAGAACUUUUCAGAAUAAAUAAGAUCGCUGAUGUUGUUCUUUUAGUUUAGUACUUAGCUACUUGCUUUCGAUAUACUCUCAACUGAAUAUUGUUUUUGUCAUAGUGCUAUUUUCAUCUAUAUCAGGUCUAGUUUUUGAGCUAUGAGAGGAUCGUCUUUUUUGAGAAGCCGCGUAGAUUAUCGGCUGUUGAUAUGUUAUCUUUCUUUCCCUGAGAAAAUUUUGCUUAUGAAGCUACUAAGUAUAGGCACAUUAUACUGAGAUAACCAUGAUUGGUAUUUGUCUCCAUGUUACAUGAUCCAAAAGGCACUUUCUAAGUAAUUUUUUCAUCCUUGUUCAUACAUAGAUCAUGUAUGAAUGGAUAUAAACAUUGGUUGCAUCGGGAGACAUCUUCUUUCAUCGGAAUCAACGACGCGUGUUUCUUUAAGGCGUAUACCAUUCUUCAGUUGCUUCCUUUUCGUUCGUACUCUUCUUGUCUACGGGUUUCUGUUGCAUAGCUUUCAAAUUUUGGGUGUGUUGUGUCAUUCUUUUAACCUGUUAGUUAUGUGUAUGAAGUGGCGAAAUCUAACUAUUCAUAAAUUGCUAUUGUAGGAAGUACAUGGUCAUCAUAUGUAAUAGGAGGUAUAAGAAGUACACAAACAAUGACGAACUUGAUUACCGUAGAAGAUAACGGCAACACCGAGGAUCAUGAAGCAAGCCAGAAUCACUCAAAACCGGUCUCCAACCCGAGUGAUCGUACUAGCCCUAACACUACCAGAGAGUCCAAUGUGAGAUACUCCGCAUUCUCAAACCUAAAAUCAUCGCAGAGGCACGACCUCGCCAUGAUAUUCACGUGCAAGGUGUGUGAGACCCGGUCGGUGAAGACGGUGUGCCGUGAGUCCUACGAGAAGGGCGUCGUGGUUGCCCGGUGCGGGGGGUGCAGCAACCUCCAUUUGAUCUCCGACCGGCUUGGGUGGUUCGGUGAGCCCGGAAGCGUCGAAGAUUUCCUGGCGGCACGAGGAGAGGAGGUGAAGAGAGGUUCUGCAGAUACCUUGAAUCUUACCUUAGAGGAUUUGGCCGGAAAUAAGUCAUCGUGAUCUUCUGGAUUUUAGGGGAUGUUCGGUUGGAUAACUGUUAUAAAUAUAGUGUAAUUGAAGAUGCAUUUAAUCAAAAAUAUAAUAGUCACAACUGCUUUACAACUAUAACUAUAAUUUGUUUGGCUGCAUAAAAAGUGAUUAAGAAUGUAAGUUUUUUUUUGUUUAAAAUUACUUUUUUCAAUUGUUACAAUUACAGUGUAGUUACAACUACAUAUACCAAACAAUCCCUUAGCCUCCGUUUGGUUGGGGGUUAAGGGGUGGAAUAACGCCUUAACCCCUAUUUUAUCUCCAAACACAUUUAAAAAUGGGUGGAGUUAGCUAACCACAGCUAACCCCACCUCAAAUGGGUUAUUCCGGAUUAGCUAAUCCCACCUAAACCCCAACCAAACACUAUUUUCUAUUCAUAAUAAUCCACUAUCCUUCUUAUCCCACCUAUUCCAACCAAACACUAUUUUUCACUAUCCUGAACUAACUCCAACCCCUAACCAAACACAAAAAUACUCUAACCCCACCUUAACCCUAAACUUAACCCUAUCCCUGAAAUAACUAAUUUUUUCUUAACCCCGAACCAAACGGUAGCUUAGGAUAUUUU
rnacentral:lncRNA from 1 species